rnacentral:lncRNA from 1 species
GUUUUUUUUUCUCCUGUUUAGCAAUAAUUCUUUCAUCUACCUUCUGUUUAUAUGUGUUUUUAUCUUUUAGUUAGUGUUUUUGCUAAGUAGAACCUAUAGGAUAACCUAUGAUGAUAGUUGAUUUGAUUCUGCUGAAAAACAGAAACUUUGUGCGCACGAAUAUAAUUUUGUUAAAUCACAGCAACGUGAUUUUGCGUUGAUUCUUUUUGCUUCUGUUCAAUAAACAAAUUAUACAGGAGUUCCUAUUUUGGUAUGAUUUUUAGAGUUCCAGAAGUUUGCGUUAGUUACAGAUUGCUACAGACUAUUCUGUUUUUGAUAGAUUCUGUUUUUCGUGUGUUGUUUGAUUAUUUCAAUGCAUCAAUGGCUAGUAAUUCAGUCUAUGAACCAUAAAGAAGUUGGAAUACAGUAGGUUUAACACCAAAUUAAAUAAAGAAUGAGUUCAUUGCAGUACCUUAUGUAGUGGUUUCGUUUUCUUUCACUAACGGAGCUUAUAAGAUUUCCUGUUGAGUUUUGUGUUGUGAAGUUUUCAAGUUUUGGGUAAAGCUUUUAUAGGACUAUUGUAGGACCUUGAAGUAUGUCUAGAGGGGGGGUGAUUAGACUACUUGACCAAUAAAAACUUAGCCUUUUCCCAAUUUUAGAGUUUGGCAGAUUUUAGCUACUUUACGACAAGUCAAGCAAUCAUCACACAAUUCAAGCAAGCAUGCAAAGAGUAUAUAAGCAGUGGAAAUUAAAGCAUGCAACUUGCAAGAAAGUAAAGGGAAGAGUUUGGAGGAUUCAAACGCAAUUGGAGACACGGAUGUUUUUGGUGUGGUUCCGAUAGGUGGUGCUAUCGUACAUCCACGUUGAUGGAGACUUCAACCCACGAAGUGUAACGGCUGCGCGAGUCCACGGAGGGCUCCACCCACGAAGGGUCCACGAAGUAGCAACCUUGUCUAUCCCACCAUGGCCAUCGCCCACGAAGGACUUGCCUCACUAGCGGUAGAUCUUCACGAAGUAGGCGAUCUCCUUGCCCUUACAAGCUCCUUGGUUCAACUCCACAAUCUUGUCGGAGGCUCCCAAGUGACACCUAGCCAAUCUAGGAGACACCACUCUCCAAGAAGUAACAAAUGGUGCGUUGAUGAUGAACUCCUUGCUCUUGUGCUUCAAAUGGUAGUCUCCCCAACACUCAACUCUCUCUCAUAGGUUUUGGAUCUGGUGGAAAGAAGAUUUGAGUGGAAAGCAACUUGGGAAGGCUAGAGAUCAAGAUUCAUAUGGUAGGAAUGGAAUAUCUUGGUCUCAACACAUGAGUAGGUGGUUCUCUCUCAUAAAUGGUAAGUUGGAAGUGUAGGUUUGUUCUGAUGGCUCUCUCCACGAAUGAAGAGGAGGUGGAGGGGUAUAUAUAGCCUCCACACAAAAUCUAACCGUUAUACACAAUUUACCAAACUCGGUGGGACCGAAUCGUUAAACUCGGUUGGACCGAUUUAGUAAACCUAGUGACCGUUAGUUAUUUUCGGUGGGACCGACAUGCAUCUCGGUGAGACUGAUUCGGUUAGGGUUAGGGCAUAACGUAAUCUGGGUAAGACCGAUUACACAAACUCGGUGAGACCGAUUUGGUAAUAAACUUUCCAGAGAGUUGGUCAGGUAAACUCGGUGGGACCGAUUUGCUCUUUUUGAUGAGACCGAAAUGUUACAAAAAGGAAACAGAGAGUUUACAUUGCAAUCUCGGUGGGAUCGAUCGCUCACUUCGGUUAGACCGAAACGUUACAAAGGGAAACUGAGAGAUUACAACCCCAUCUCGGUGAUACCGAGAUCCCUAUCGGUAAGACCGAUUUGCUUAGGGUUUGUGGCAGUGGCUAUGACUUUUGGAAUCGGUGGCGCCGGAUAGGAAGAAUCGGUGUGACCGAUUUUGGCUUUGGGUUUAGGUCAUUUGUGGAUGUGGGAAAGUAGUUGAGAGUUUUGGAGCAUAUCACAAAGCACAUGAAGCAAGAGGCUCAUUAAGCAACACCUCAUCCCUCCUUGAUAGUAUUGGCUUUUCCUAUAGACUCAAUGUGAUCUUGGAUCACUAAAAUAUAAAAUGAAGAGUCUUGAGCUUUUGAGCUUGAGCCAAUCCUUUGUCCUUAGUAUUUUGAGGGAUCCACUUUCAUCAUCCAUGCCAUGCCAUUCAUUGAGCUUUCCUGAAAAAAUAGUCUUGGAAUAGCGUUAGCUCAAUGAGCUAUAUGUUGUUAUGAAUUACCAAAACCACCUAGGGAUAGUUGCACCUUCAAUCUCCCCCCUUUUGGUAAUUGAUGAAAACAUAUAGAUCAAAGCUUCGAUAAAUGAUAAUAAGAUUGAAUAACAUCAUCGUUUGAGAAGUAUGUUAUAAGCAAGAGCUCCCCCUAAAUUUGUGCAUUGUUUAAGAUUUGCUUUGGACUGCAAAUGCACAAUGAAUUAGGCUCAUGGGUUACUCUUCCAUGUCACAUACAUCUUGGUGGAGCGCUCAAAAUAAUAAACAUUCAAUACAUGCACUCAUCACCAAGCAUAGUGAAUGAUCACAUAACAUAGAUAGGAUAAUAUCAUCAAACAUGCAUAAGUGUAGCUUAUGAUCAAACACAUGAUCAUCAAUGUCUCACAAGCAUAGUAUCUCAACCAAAAGCAAACAAAGUUUGAAAGACCACCAAAUAAAGCAAGAUAGAAUAAAAGCAACAAUCUCUCUCUCUCUCGGCCUAUGAUCUAUUCAUUUUUCUCCCCCUUUGGCAACAAGUUACCAAAAAGUUCAUAGAAAAUGCAUAGUGCUAGAUCGUCUCUCAGGCUUGAUCUUCUGUAGUGGUGUCCUGAUAACUCCAAGUACGAAGGCUUCAGUUGAAGUAGAGGGUGCUGUGGCUGGUGCUGAAGUUGUUGCUCUAGUGUCUGUCACUGGCACUGCAACUAACCUCUGGGCUCUGGGCGCUCUGGCAAACACAUUUGUGGUAGUCUUUCCCUGCCUCUCCUGCAUAUCAUCCUGCAGCUGCUCUACAACUGAGUGAAUCUCAGUUACUUUAACAUCAAGGUCAUGAAACUUGAGUUCCAUGAUUCUCUCAAGGCUCUCUUGAUUCUGAGUGAGGGUGGCCAGUCCCUUCUCAAUCCUCAGUGUAGAUGCUAUCAAGUAACCAAGCUGCUCAUGCUUGGUCUUCAAGAAAUAUUCAGAUGCCUCCUCUUGAGUUGGCAUCUUGGCAGCCUUCUCCUUUUUUGCCUUCUCCUUCUUCUCCUGAGCUUGAACUGAUUGUGCAUCAUUUUCAUUCAUGACAACCUCAUUGUCCUCAAAGUCUCGAUAAAGUGGAAAAUGUUCCUUAUCCAAUUGAUAUCUCCCUGUUCCCAUCUUUGAGUUGAUCAAUUCCUGAAUCUGAGGUGCAUAUCCACAGCUCCUCUUCUGAUCUGCUGCAAUCCUCUUGAUUGUUUCAAUCAUCAGGCUCAUGACUUUGAACUUCUGUGGCACAUCAAACACAUGAAACAUGUUGAUGGCAUGCCCUCUGAUCAUGUUAUGGUCACCAGUCUUGGGCAACAAUGUGUGCCUCAGGAUCCAAUUGAUGGUUGGCAACCCUGAUAGCAGAAAGUGAAUUGAUCCAAACUUGUGAGUCUCUACUGCCUUGUCUGGGAUUUCCUUGUACAUGUGAACCAUUGAAUUAUGAUCCAUCUUCUUCUUUGCAUAAAUGUCCAGGUCAUCCUCAUUUUCCUUGGGGCAUUUAUCAGACUUGCCCAUUCUUCAACAGUGGAUUGGUACCUUGUACCUUCAGACAUCCAAACAAUUCUACCAUCUGGGUAAAAAUGUGCUGUGGAGUAGAACUGCAUGAUAAGCUCAUCAUUCCAGUGGCUGAACUUCUGUCCAACAUAAUCAGCAACUCCACAAGCAACAAAGCUUUCUUGCACUCCAGGAUAGCGCUGCUCAUUGUCCUUGAUGUAGGUCCAGUCGACCCACCUCAUGUCACAGACUAUGGGCUUCUUAUCCAACACAAUUUUUUCAUAGAAGUCCUGCUGUUCCUUUGUAUGGAACCUGUAGUCAACAGCAGUUCUUCUUCUUGAAGCAUAUGGAUCUUCCAUCCUGCACAGUCUCAGCCCUGAAUCCUUCCUGAUUCUCAUGUCCUCAGCCACAGGAUGGGCAUCAUUGUGGUCUGGUAUCUUGGGCUUGAGCUUUCUUAAGACCUGACCUUCUUCAUCUUCUUCUUCAACAACAUUGGGCAUUAGGGCCUUGUUCUUCUCAGCAGCUGGAAUACUCCUAGUAUUCCUCUUUGGAACUUGCUUGGCCUUGGAGGCAGCUUUGGGUGCUUCCUUGGGCUUAGAUGUUGUAGCCCCUGAUCUGAUUGCAUCACCCAUAAGCUUAGGUGCUUUGGGUGCUGGUGCAACAUCCUCUUCCUCUUCUUCAGAAUCUCUUCUCAUUGAGGGCUUUCCAAGGACCUUGGCAGUUGUGGUUCUUGCUCUCUUCUUUUUCUUGUCUUGAGCCCCAUCAUCCUCUGACUCAAUUGUGAAUUUCAUAGUCUCUCCAGUAGGAACUUUCUGAGGUUUGGAUGAUGUAUAUUUCCUUGCAGGUGCCUCUUUGGGUUGAGCCUAAGCUGGCACCUGAGUGGACUUUCUGGCCUUUGGCAUUGGUGUCCUCUUGGCAGGAACUUUCUUCUUCAGACCUGGUUUAGUUCUCUGUGCAGAGCCAUAUUCUUUCUUGAGAACUACCUUCUUGGAAGUAGCCUCAUCUUCCUCAGCUUUGUAAUCUUCAUCCUAUGAAUCUGACGUUCUUUUCCUCCUUUGCCUAGUAGCAGCCUUAGGCAAAUUGCUAGGAGUACUUCUGCUCCCUUCAUCUGUAGUUGAGGGACUAGUGCCCUCACUCAAGUCCAUCUGCUCUUCUGACCUAUUCUAGCUGUCACUCUGAUCUGACAUACUGCAAAAGCUGACUGUUGAUCCUAUGAAGAGUUAUAGAUGAGAUAGAAUAGACGAGCAUCACAAAAUGUAGAGGUUUUUGCAAAAGAAUGAUUCAAAAGUUCAGUUUUAGUUUUCCAUAGAAAGCAUUUCGGAUCAACCGAUUUUCAAACUCGGUGAUACCGAAGCAGUUUUGGAACCUAAACUGAUGAUCUCGGUUGGACCGAGUCUCGGUUCGGUGGCACCGAGACUGCUAGGGUUUCACAAAAUCCUCAAAUCGGUCGCAGCGAUUAGUAAUUCUCGGUCAGACUGAGAGUCACUAGUGCAAUGGCAUAAGCCAAAUCGGUGAGACCGAGUUUUUCAACUCGGUGGGUCCGAGAUGGUUUCGGCGAAAACCAAACCCUAAAAAUUUGAAUCUCAUCUAAUCUAUGGAUUACUUUGGCUGGAUAGAAGAGUCUCAAUCGUGGCAAGAAUCAAUAAGAAUACAAUGUGCUAGGAAUCAGACGUGGAUAGCACAAAGAUUGAGUCCAUACCCUAACUUGGCGGUGGACUCGCUACGGUGGCAACGGCUGGGACGAAAUCCGUUGACGGCGGCGGAGACCACCGCCAAGCAAAAUCCUCAAGCCACAGCACCCAGGGUGAUGACUGAUCGUGAGUUACUCCUCAGUCUUCAUCAGAAGGUUGAUCGCAAUCAGAAAUAGGUGAAGCACCAAUUUGCUGCAAUUCUUCACAACAAGACCUCAACACAUAAUGUAGUGAAGAAAAAUCAGUACUACCUUCAUGAAACCCUCAACCGUACCUGGGCUGUUCUUAAUCAUGUAUAUUCCGCGAAAGAAUUGAAGACUAUGGGUCUUCAGGAAGCAUUUGACUGGUCUGCACCACCUCCGAAGAAAUUCAAGAGAGUCAAAGUUCCUGAUCUGGUGGCCAGCUCUUAUUCUUCAUCGCGUGAAACUGAUGAAUAUGAAGAUUUGGACGACACUGCGGCAGGCCCUACUUCAACAUCCAACCCCGACAACGCUGGCGCUCCUCCAUCAACUUGAAAAUCUUCAGGGGCGUUAGUCCUCAGUUUCGAUCCUUUUGGUCAUUUGAUGACAAAGGGGGAGAAAUCUGAGUUAGUCUUCAAGCGGGUUUAUACUAUGGGCGUUUCUAUUAAGUUACAACUCUCGUUCUUCCGAAACUUUUAUUGGAUCGAGUUGUAAUCUCAAAUCCGAUGGUGCCUUGAUACUUUUGAUCGUGCUUCGAUACGUUUGAUGCUCUGAUGCUUUUGAAGCACUAAGCUCUGAAUGUGAUAUUUGAGCUCUGAAACUUUUGAUGUGAUAUUCUGCAUGCUAAUUCCUAGUCAACAUUAUUGCACGCAUGCUGAAUCUCAUCAGGCACCAUAUUUCAUCAUGCAUUUCAAAUUCUUCAUAUUAUAUAUCAAAUGCGUGUCUGAAUUACAAGAUAUAGGGGGAGAUCUCCAUGAUUCAAUUCUUCAAAUGUGCAUUGCCUCAAAAGCAAAUUCCUCAUUAUGCACAUAUUCAGGGGGAGUUCCUUUAUAUCUUGCAAUCAAAUUCCUCAAUAUCAGUAUUUACACUUCAUAUGUUUAUCCCCAUUGAAAAAUUAACCUAUGUUGUCAUCAAUCACCAAAAAGGGGGAGAUUGUAAGUGCAUCUAGUGCCCCUUAGUGAUUUUGGUGUAUUGAAGACUUAUAGGUUAAGUAACUGAUGCGUUUGUCAGUGUACACAGGUCUAUAAGUCUAUGAGGAGUUUGAUAUUUACAGAGAAAGUCGACCCCUAAAAAUGAAGUUCUUCGACUGAAGACUUUGAUAUUCUGAAGACUUUCUGAAGACUUUGAAAGUGAAGAAAUUGGUGUGACCUUGAAGACUUGAUAUUCAUUCGAGGAAUAUGAAGCGUGAAGACUUUUGUUUUCAUAGUUUCAUUUUCUCUUUCUUGAGUCAUAGGAAACACCAUACUGUUAAAGGGGGUCGAGGAAAUACUAAGGAAAAAUUUCCAAGUGAUGCUCAACUCAAAAUCCUACACCUACCAAUCCCUUCGAGUGAAGCCAUUGGAAAUCUCAUACAGUUCAGUCAAAUUCUUCAGUGACAGAGACGCACUUCUUCUGGUCGCUGAUGACUUUGCUCUGACUGAGGAGUUAGGAAUUCGCAAGUGCGAAUUGCCUACAGAGUGAGGAACAUGAUAGCCCUGAGGAAUUUGAGAGUCAAAUUUCCGACCGUUGCUGUGCUGCGCGCCGGCUGUCCUAAAAUAUCUUAUCCACCUAACGGUCAUAUCAUUGAAGGGCAUUUAUGUCUUAUCAUGUCGGGCUGCUCCCUAGGCUAUAAAUAGCCGCCCCCUACAACCACAAGUUGGUUGGCUGCUCCGAGAGAACUUGACACUUUUCAUUUGAGAGCAACCCAUCCUCCGAGGACUUUGAGCGAAAAUCAUCAAGUGAGGAAAAUCCCAAAACCAAACCCCCACAAACCCAAAGUGAUUGAGCAUCACUGAAGAAAUUGAUCCUGCGUGGAUCCGACGCUUGUUACCUUUGAAGACUGUGCUUCUUCCAGACGGUUAGGCGUCAAGGUCUAGAGCAUCCAAGAGGAAUUGUGGAUCGCCGAGUGACCAAGUCUGUGAAGGUUUGGAAGUUACCUGAAGACUUACCACGAGUGAUUGGACGAGGCCUGCGUGGUCUUAGUUCAAGGAGAAUACGGUGAGGACUGGGUGUCCUGAGUUGCGGCUCAGAGACUGGGUGUCCGGGACUGUGUGUCCUCGAGUUUAAAUACUCAGCCGCUCCAACCAGACGUACAACUGAGACAGCAGUUGGAACUGGUUUACCAAAUCAUUGUCUUCACCAACUGACUGGUUCUAUUUCCUCAACUCAUUCAUUUCCUCAUUACUGUGUUGAAUUGUUGACGCUCAAAAAUGGCAUGAUCGCAAAGAGUGACUUGAGUCUACAAUGGAAUGAGGUUAAAAUUAUGAGUUUAUGUCACCAUUUGAUGGCCCUCGUCAAGAUGAUCGAAAUAAAUAUGAAGAUGGACCAAAAAGGAGCUCAAGUGCAAAAGAUAUGACAAUUUCUGAGAUACCCAUGUUGACACCUGAUUAAAGAAUGUCAUGAAACCUAAUUAAUACUACCUCGGACGAAAAAAGUUACAACUGCAAAGUUCUUCGUCUCGUCGAAACGGACAAUUUUGAUAUAAGAAUCGUCCCCAUCCAAGUUCAUAUGCAAAAGUUAUAGCCAAAACUGUGCGCUGCAAUACUGUAUGGCCGGAUCAUCCGGACCGGGGUCCAGAUCAUCCGGCCGAGGGCCGAAAAAUUGACCAAAAUAACAGAAGCUAAAAGUUGAAGCCGGAUGAUCUGGACCAACUCCCGGAUGAUCCGGGUAAAGGCCGGACAAUCCGGGCAAUCGUCCGGAUGUCCGGACACGUUUUUCUGCUGCAGACUUUAGAAAACGGCCCGAAACACCCUCAAGGUGGCCUCGGAUGAAAAAGUGUUCAACAUGAAAGUUGUGCGUCUCGUCGAGACGGUUGAUUUGGAUAUAAAAAACGUCCAAAUCCGUGGUCGUAUGAGGAUUCUAGAGCCAAAACAGUGAGCUGCUGUCCAAAAACUGGGCUAGGCCGGAUCAUCCGGGCCUUGAGCCGGACAUCCGGGCCGAGGGUCGUGAAUAGUCCGUGUUUUAUUAGGUUUUGAUGAUUUGGACGGCUAGGCAAGUCCUUUUCUUGUACGGGAAGUCCACCCGCCUCUUAUAUAGACAAAAGGUGACGGCCGAUUGAACAACAACACACAAUCGAACAAAUCAAUCUAUCAUCUUUUACCUUUAUCUUUAUCUCUCUCCCUUGUUCUUCUUCUUCCUCGUUCUUCGUUCGUUCUUCUUGUUGCAGGGCGGCGAACCUCGAGGCCCUAGGGGCGGUCAGGCCGACCUAGGGCAGCCCAUAGCCGCCGCGCGCCCUGACGGGGUCCCUCCCGGGCGUGUGGGGUUUCGGGUCUACAAAAGCGCCCGCCGGAUUGUCUUGCGUACCGCGCUUCCGGCGGAUCUCCUUCGACGUGAGCUGCGGUGCAUCACCCUUGGUGUUGGAGGUACACGGUGACGUGUUCGUGUGCGAACACACUUUUUGGCGACUCCGCUGGGGACGAAGCUUUGAACGGUCUCCGGCCCGUUCUUGCUACGAAGAGAUCGUCAUCUAGGGUUUGCAAUCUACAAAGGUAAUAUGAAUACCCAAUUCACAUAUGUAGAUGCAAAUAAUGCAUAUGUUGUUGCUAGAUCAUCUAAUGAGCAUAAUGUAUCGGCUAGCCCUAGAUUUAUCAAUCAUGCAUCUAAUUAUGUGCAAGGGCCGAUGCAACAAAAUCUCCAUGAUUCUACUUCAUAUAAUUUUAGCAACAUGCAACAUAUGUAUCCCAACUCCCAUGCAUCGGCAACCCCACAAAUCUAUAUGCCGAUGAACAACAUGAUGAGUUUGAUUAAUCAAUUUGAAACAUCUCAUGUUAAAAUUUCCAAUAGCAUACAAGAAAGUGUUUCACCUUUUUAUUCAUCGGCAACUAAUUUGCAAUAUGAGAAUCCAACCAUGCCGAUGAAUGAGAGAAUUGGCCAUGCUACUACUAGCUAUUCGGCCAGUUAUUCUCAACCGUCAUAUGCUACACCUCAUGUUACUAAUUCUUCGGCACCAUACACAACUGUAGAUGCUCAUAAUUCGGCUUCACACCUUCCUGGUUAUAGCCGAAUGAAUGUAAAUUUUACAGGAGCGGUUGUGCCCAACAUUGUAGAAGAUGAGGUAGUGGUGGCUGCAUUAAAGAGUUUAGCCCAAAAUAAGAGAAUUAGUGCUCUUUGCCUUGAACAACAUGAAAAGGGGCUAUUUCCUGAUUAUGCCGCAACAAAAGCUAGAGUUUUGCAAGAAGAUGAAUCUUUGCCAAUUGAUAAAAUUGGCGAGCAAAAGUAUGGUCUUACAACAAUGCAUAUGCCUUCACCUAGUACUACAUCAUAUUAUACACCCCCUACACAAUUGCAAAAUUUCGGCAACACCCGUGUGUCAUUGCCGAAAGAAUCUAAAAGCAUUGGGGGGCAAUCAUAUCCGGAGUGGGCUGAAAUUGAGAAAAAGCUUAAAGCUAAUUUUGCCGCUCGCCGUCAGAAACAAAUAGAAAAAGAAUUGGCUCAGAUAAAAGAAGCAUUGCCAAUUGGUAGUAUGAAUGAAAAGAAGGAUGAUUCGGAACAUGAAAGUGCUUCGGUUGAAAAAGCCGAAUCAAGUAGUAUAUAUUCUGAAUGCAUCAAAUCCAACGAGGCAAGCAUUAUUGAGAAAGGGCAUGGCAAGCAUAGGAAAACAACGGUGCUUGAUUUUUCUGAAACUAAGGGAACCUACUUCCUGCCCUAUGAGUUUCGUGCCAUAGAAAUUGAUGAGCUUCAAGGACAAGAACAAGUAGCCGAACAAAGUUCGGUUGACAAAGAUCUUCAAAUUUAUGAUGCACGAAAUCAAGAAGAAAAUUGUGACAUGGUGUUGGGAAGUCAUUCAGAAGCAAAGCACAAUAUUAUUCAUCAUAUGCAAUCAUCAUGCUCUCCCAACAUAUUUGAAGAGGUAUGUCUAGCAAGUAAUUUACCUAUUUUCAGAUUUGGUCACAACUUUAUUGUUGAUGCAUCUAUUAGAAAAAUUCCAAUAAGUAAUUUUCAAAGACCAAUGAAGAAGGGAAAUAUACUUGUUAGCAAUAAAAUUGUUACUAAGCAUAUCGGUCAAUAUAUUGUACCAUUCAAAGAGAACGAUAGUGACUUAUUACUGCAACCAAAGCUUUUCCCAUUGCUUUAUUUAAAGUUCAUAUCUAAUUGGGUAGCUUUGUUUGCUUCAUACUUGGCUUACGCAUGGUCUCAAUUGAGACAUGUAUGUUCUAACUACUUUGAUUUCAGAAAUUCAAAGCCAAGGUUAAAAUCUUUUGGGAAAACCGAUGCUAGUAUAGUUUCUUAUUUAAGGACAUCGGAAAAAGAAUGUGAAAAAGAAUUCAUAGCCGAAUGGGAAGAUACCGAAUCUGAACCAUUCGUUUGCUUAACUCCAAAGCCGUUCUCACAACAAGAUCGGCUAGAAAACAAAAGGUAUACCUUUGAUUCAAACAUGUGUGAUCAAAUCUUUGAUUUGUUGUUGAAAAAUAAUUACAUUAGAAUUCUUGAUCACCAUGUCAAGCCAUCAAUUCAAGGACGAAUCUAUUGUAGGUUGCAUCAUUCGUUCAAACAUAAUUUUGAGGAUUGCAAUAUGUUUCGUCAAAUAGUUAAAUCGGCCAUUGAUAAAGGACGAUUGAAAUUUGUUGAGACACCAAGAAAUGACCAGUCUAUUACGAUUGGUCCCGAUGGCAGAAAGCUUUUGCAUCGGCUGCUUCAAGCCGAUCCAUUUAAAGAGAAGGUAAAAACAGCAGGUGAUGGGAUCGAGCUUUCAAGUAAAGAAUUUGUUGAAGAGCAUAAUGAACAUAACCUUGAGGGCAAAAAUUCCAUCGAAGCUACAAUGGAGACGCCAAGGACUGGGGGGCAGCAAGCAAAUUCAAUGAUCGAUGGAAGCAAACCAAAAGAAAACAAAGGCCGAAAUAAGCGCAAGUGUAAGAGAUCAAAAAUCACCUUCGCUGAAUUAUUGGAUAAAUAUCAAAAGAAGAGUGAAGAGAAGAAUGCUUAUCGACCAAAUCAUGCAAAGAAACCAAGAUCACCCCCAAGGCGCAAAUAUGAAGAUCGGUAUUAGCAAAGUGCGAAUUUUAAUGCAACAUAUUCAUAUCCUUAUUUUGGGCCGCCAAUGCCAAUGCCGUGGAUGCUUCCCUAUGCUCAUAUAGAUACAUAUUCAUCAUGGGACAGGUAUGAUACAAGGGCACAUUCUCCAUCUUAUUUUAGACCAUCUCACCAAUAUUAUGCAGCUCCAAGAAGAUCAACAUCUGAACAAUCACAUGUUAAAGACCGUUUCAAUCAUAAGGAAUCGGUCCAGAGCUCAAGGAAGAAGAAAGAGGUGGUCAAACAAGUUUACCGCGUUAAAAGAGAUGGUCGUAAGAUUGCUACUUUAGAUUUGAUCUCAAAUGAAAAAGAGCCAAUGAAAGUGUUGACAUUGGCUACUAAAGGCAAUGAGAUGAAGCAACCAAUUAUUAAGAGUCAAAGUGCCAAAUCUGAAGAAAAGAAGUUGAGAGUGCACGAGGCCAAGAAAGAAUUGCCAUUGGUCAAAAUAGAAUCACAGCCGAGAUGCCCACUCGACUUAUUGUAUUGGCAAAAGAAAGAAUUACAAAAUCUUAGUGCACAAGAGCUAAGAAAGAGGAACAUGGCAUGGGUUCCCAAGAAGAUCAAUCAAGACAAAAAUGAUGUGCAUGCUUCUAUUGCGACAAGUACAAUAAAAGUGAAGAAGGAAAAUAAUGAAAGCCACAAACAAUUAAGCCGAAGGUGCACAUCACAACAUCAAAAUCUUCGGUUAGCGCAUCAUCCAUUUUCUUCAACAAUGCCAUUGAUGCCUUUGCCAUGGAAUUCAUCCACAGGUAUGAUCAUUUACCCUCCAUGGACUUAUUUUGAUCCAUGGAUGCAACAUAAUUUUCCAUAUCAUGACAGAGUAUUACCAAAUCACUAUACAUUUGGUUAGUUAAAUUUUUGUUGCUAAGACAAAGGGGCCGAAAUAUUUUAUUGCUAUUGUAUUUGUUUAUUUCGGCUAUACAUGCUUUAAUGGAUGAAUUCUACAUGGACCUCAUGAUAAUGGCCGAUAAUUAACUAUCGUCCUAAGAAACUAUCUGAUCAUGGCCGGUGUAAUAUUCUUACAUCGUCCUUAGUUCGAAUGGAGAGCGAGACAAGUACUAUGGAGAUUAUGUUUUGAUAGUUGAAUUCAUAACAAUGGCCAUGGUGUUGGUGUUGUUUAUAUAUCUCCAUAUGGGUCUAUUAUGUGAAGCCUCAUGCCUCUUAAAAUAUUUAUUGAACAAUAAUCAAAGCCAAAUCUGCAAUGUUAUUCGGUUUGGAACUUUUGUCAUAUGUGCUAAACAUAUUGAGGCUUCCAGUGAUUCGUUAUUAGUAGUGCAACAAAUAUCCAAGGGUUAUCAAUGUUUUGACGAAUCACUUAUAGUUUAUCUUGAGGCAUGUCUAAAUGCAAAAUUUACCUUGGGUUGCUAUAAAAUUGUUCAUAUUUCUUGACAUGACAAUUCGAAAGAGUUGGCACAGCAAGCAUCUGGCUACUAUAUUAAUCAUAGUGUGUUGCAUUUCUAUCAAUAGCCGAUGCUUAGUCUCAUCAACAUAGGUAAGGCCGAACCGAAGUCCACCGCUUCGGCCACUAAUAUUGUUUUUAUGCAGGUAAAAGUGAGGAUUGGAGAAAAUUUAUUAUUGAUUAUCUGCAAAGUCCUAACAAAAGGGUGAACUAUAUGAUUCAGAGGAUGACCUUGAGAUACAUAUCUGUGGAGCUUUAUCAUCGGAUUGUUAAGAAAGUUGAGAAGGUUUCACCCAAUUUUGCAUCAAGGAUUCAAAGAAAUAAUGGCCGAUAUAUAUUUAUCGCCCAAGCACAUGCAAAGUGGCCGAUGGAGUGUUGACAUCGUCCUUAGAACCAACAUAAUACGAGUUAUUUUUCGGCAUACUACCUUUGCCGAAAAACAGGGGGGCAUGUGUUGACGCUCAGAAAUGGCAUGAUCGCAAAGAGUGACUUGAGUCUACAAUGGAAUGAGGUUAAAAUUAUGAGUUUAUGUCACCAUUUGAUGGCCCUCGUCAAGAUGAUCGAAAUAAAUAUGAAGAUGGACCAAAAAGGAGCUCAAGUGCAAAAGAUAUGACAAUUUCUGAGAUACCCGUGUUGACACCUGAUUAAAGAAUGUCAUGAAACCUAAUUAAUACGACCUCGGAUGAAAAAAGUUACAACUGCAAAGUUCUUCGUCUCGUCGAAACGGACGAUUUUGAUAUAAGAAUCGUCUCCAUCCAAGUUCGUAUGCAAAAGUCAUAGCCAAAACUGUGCGCUGCAACACUGUAUGGCCGGAUCAUCCGGACCGGGGUCCAGAUCAUCCGGCCGAGGGCCGAAAAAUUGACCAAAACAACAGAAGCUAAAAGUUGAAGGCGGACGAUCUGGACCAACUCCCGGAUGAUCCGGGUAAAGGCCGGACAAUCCGGGCAAUCGUCCGGAUGUCCGGACACGUUUUUCUGCUGCAGACUUUAGAAAACGGCCCGAAACACCCACAAGAUGGCCUCGGAUGAAAAAGUGUUCAACAUGAAAGUUGUGCGUCUCGUCGAGGCGGUUGAUUUGGAUAUAAAAACCGUCCAAAUCCGUGGUCGUAUGAGGAUACUAGAGGCAAAACAGUGAGCUGCUGUCAAAAAACUGGGCUAGGCCGGAUCAUCCGGGCCUUGAGCCGGACAUCCGGGCCGAGGGUCGUGAAUAGUCCGUGUUUUAUUAGGUUUUGAUGAUUUGGACGGCUAGGCAAGUCCUUUUCUUGUACGGGAAGUCCACCCGCCUCUUAUAUAGACAAGAGGUGACGGCCGAUUGAACAACAACACACAAUCGAACAAAUCAAUCUAUCAUCUUUUACCUUUAUCUUUAUCUCUCUCCCUUGUUCUUCUUCUUCCUCGUUCUUCGUUCGUUCUUCUUGUUGCAGGGCGGCGAACCUCGAGGCCCUAGGGGCGGUCAGGCCGACCUAGGACAGCCCAUAGCCGCCCCGCGCCCUGACGGGGUCCCUCCCGGGCGUGUGGGGUUUCGGGUCUACAAAAGCGCCCGCCGGAUUGUCUUGCGUACCGCGCUGCCGGCGGGUCUCCUUCGACGUGAGCUGCGGUGCAUCACCCUUGGCGUUGGAGGUACACGGUGACGUGUUCGUGUGCGAACAUGAAUGUUGUUCAUAUCUGUGCUUGAAGACAUUGACUGAAGACUUUCACAAAUUCCUCAGUUCAAUUUCUUCAGUCUGUUUGUCUUCAUCUUGCUAUCCUGUGUUUACGCUUUCCGUACUCUGUCUUAGUCUUCAUUUAAUCAUGCUGACUAUGUGUGUAUCCUGUUAUGUUUACUUUUGAGUACAUAUUCCGCUGCAAGUAGUUCUUCGCUAAGGAAUUUCCUCACCGGCAAAUUCCUCAGUGAAGAAUUCAUAAAAAUCGCCCAUUCACCCCCCCUCUAGUCGAUAUAACGCACUUUAUAUCGACUAGAGGGGGGGGUGAAUGGGCGAUUUUUAUGAAUUCUUCACUGAGGAAUUUGCCGGUGAGGAAAUUCCUUAGCGAAGAACUACUUGCAGUGGAAUAUGUACUCAGAAGUAAACAUAACAGGAUACACACAUAGUCAGCAUGAUUAAAUGAAGACUAAGACAGAGUACGGAAAGCGUAAACACAGGAUAGCAAGAUGAAGACAAACAGACUGAAGAAAUUGAACUGAGGAAUUUGUGAAAGUCUUCAGUCAAUGUCUUCAAGCACAGAUAUGAACAACAUUCAACACAGUAAUGAGGAAAUGAAUGAGUUGAGGAAAUAGAACCAGUCAGUUGGUGAAGACAAUGAUUUGGUAAACCAGUUCCAACUGCUGUCUCAGUUGUACGUCUGGUUGGAGCGGCUGAGUAUUUAAACUCGAGGACACACAGUCCCGGACACCCAGUCUCUGAGCCGCAACUCAGGACACCCAGUCCUCACCGUAUUCUCCUUGAACUAAGACCACGCAGGCCUCGUCCAAUCACUCGUGGUAAGUCUUCAGGUGACUUCCAAACCUUCACAGACUUGGUCACUCGGCGAUCCACAAUUCCUCUUGGAUGCUCUAGACCUUGACGCCUAACCGUCUGGAAGAAGCACAGUCUUCAAAGGUAACAAGCGUCGGAUCCACGCAGGAUCAAUUUCUUCAGUGAUGCUCAAUCACUUUGGGUUUGUGGGGGUUUGGUUUUGGGAUUUUCCUCACUUGAUGAUUUUCGCUCAAAGUCCUCGGAGGAUGGGUUGCUCUCAAAUGACAAGUGUCAAGUUCUCUCGGAGCAGCCAACCAACUAGUGGUUGUAGGGGGCGGCUAUUUAUAGCCUAGGGAGCAGCCCGACAUGAUAAGACAUAAAUGCCCUUCAAUGAUAUGACCGUUAGGUGGAUAAGAUAUUUUAGGACAGCCGGCGCGCAGCACAGCAACGGUCGGAAAUUUGACUCUCAAAUUCCUCAGGGCUAUCAUGUUCCUCACUGUGUAGGCAAUUCGCACUUGCGAAUUCCUAACUCCUCAGUCAGAGCAAAGUCAUCAGCUACCAGAAGAACUGCGUCUCUGUCACUGAAGAAUUUGACUGAACUGUAUGAGAUUUCCAAUGGCUUCACUCGAAGGGAUUGGUAGGUGUAGGAUUUUGAGUUGAGCAUCACUUGGAAAAUUUUCCUUAGUAUUUCCUCGACCCCCUUUAACAGUACGGUGUUUCCUAUGACUCAAGAAAGAGAAAAUGAAACUACGAAAACAAAAGUCUUCACGCUUCAUAUUCCUCGAAUGAAUAUCAAGUCUUCAAGGUCACACCAAUUUCUUCACUUUCAAAGUCUUCAGAAAGUCUUCAGAAUAUCAAAGUCUUCAGUCGAAGAACUUCAUUUUUAGGGGUCGACUUUCUCUGUAAAUAUCAAACUCCUCAUAGACUUAUAGACCUGUGUACACUGACAAACGCAUCAGUUACUUAACCUAUAAGUCUUCAAUACACUAAAAUCACUAAGGGGCACUAGAUGCACUUACAAUCUCCCCCUUUUUGGUGAUUGAUGACAACAUAGGUUAAGUUUUCAACGGGGAUAAACAUAUGAAGUGUAAAUACUGAUAUUGAGGAAUUUGAUUGCAAGAUAUAAAGGAACUCCCCCUGAAUAUGUGCAUAAUGAGGAAUUUGCUUUUGAGGCAAUGCACAUUUGAAGAAUUGAAUCAUGGAGAUCUCCCCCUAUAUCUUGUAAUUCAGACACGCAUUUGAUAUAUAAUAUGAAGAAUUUGAAAUGCAUGAUGAAAUAUGGUGCCUGAUGAGAUUCAGCAUGCGUGCAAUAAUGUUGACUAGGAAUUAGCAUGCAGAAUAUCACAUCAAAAGUUUCAGAGCUCAAAUAUCACAUUCAGAGCUUAGUGCUUCAAAAGCAUCAGAGCAUCAAAUGUAUCGAAGCACGAUCAAAAUUAUCAAGGCACCAUCGGAUUUGAGAUUACAACUCGAUCCAAUAAAAGUUUCGGAAAAACGAGAGUUGUAACUUAAUAGAAACGCCCAUAGUAUAAAUCCGCUUGAAGACUAACUCAGAUUUCUCCCCCUUGGUCAUCAAAUGACCAAAAGGAUCGAAACUGAGGACUAAUGCCCCUGAAGAUUUUCAAGUUGAUGGAGGAGCACCAGUGUUGUCGGGGUUGGAUGUUGAAGUAGGGCCUGCCGCAGUGUCGUCCAAAUCUUCAUAUUCAUCAGUUUCACGCGAUGAAGAAUAAGAGCUGGCCACCAGAUCAGGAACUUUGACUCUCUUGAAUUUCUUUGGAGGUGGUGCAGACCAGUCAAAUGCUUCCUGAAGACCCAUAGUCUUCAAUUCUUCCGCGGAAUAUACAUGAUUAAGAACAGCCCAGGUACGGUUGAGGGUUUCAUGAAGGUAGUACUGAUUUUUCUUCACUCCAUUAUGUGUUGAGGUCAUGUUGUGAAGAAUUGCAGCAAAUUGGCGCUUCACCCAUUUCUGAUUGCGAUCAACCUUCUGAUGAAGACUGAGGAGUAACUCAUGAUCAGUCAUCACCCUGGGUGCUAUGGCUUGAGGAUUUUGCUUGGCUGAGGUAUUUGCAGCAGUGUCAUGCGUUGCAGAAUCGUCAUUGGUGGAGUAAGAUGCAGCCUUGCAAAAUUGUCCAUCCAAUGGACGAGUGCCUUCAUCAAUCACAGCUGCUGCCUUGCCCUUAUCAUCAGAUGAUGAAACUGGUCGCUUGAGGACUUCAAUGGGUGGCAAGUAGCUGCCAUGGUUCAGAGUGUCAGCCUUGUAGUUCAGUGAAGAUCUUGCCCUUAUGAAUCUCAUGAUCCAAGGCGCAUAUGGCUUCAGCUCAAAAGGGGACAUUGCAACAUUGGCCAGAGUCCUCAUGAAGAAAUCAUGGAAGUUGACAGGAACGCCAUGAAUGAUAUUGAAAAGCAUGUUCUUCAUGAUGCCAACGACAUCUUCUUCAUUUGAGUCGUGGCCUUUGAUGGGACUCAUUGUCUUCGUCAAGAUUCUAUAGACGGUCCGAGGCACAUACAGCAAUUCCUUGACGAGGAAUUUGGUUCGAGGGGCCUGUCCUGGCUUCAACGGCUUCAUGAGCACUUGCAUAAAGUGAUCAGACAGUUCGCGAUCAUUGUAGAUGCAGCGUGCAGUUUCAUGGGGAGAAUCAAGAGGAAGGACACGAAGCAAUUCAGUUGCUGGUGCCUUGUAGUGAGUAUUCUCUGUCAUCCAAUCCAGUACCCAUGAGUUGAUAUCUUCAGCAUCUCCGGUGAUGUGCAGGGUGGCAUAGAACUGAAGAAUGAGUUCUUCAUUCCAGUCGCAGAUGUCAGUGCAGAAAUUCAGCAGCCCUGCAUCGUGAAGAACACAGAGUACUGGCUCAAAGCAUGACAGUGAUUCCAUAUCCACAUGAGGAAUAUGCUCAUGGUUGAAGAUCUUAUCCUUGUCAAAUAGCACUAAGGAAUAGAAGUUUGCUUGAGUAGGAGUCCAGAAGCGUCUUUUCCUCAUACGAGCAGAGUCAUACGGAUUAUAAGCAGUGAAGAACACAUGCUCAGAAAAGAAGUCUUCAGCCUUGAAUUUUUGCUUGCUCGAGAACGGAUUCUUCGGUUUGGGCAGAGGAAUAUCAGUGAUUUGCAAAACCACCUCAGGAAUCGCGAUCUCAGGUUCUUCAGGCUGAGGAAUUUUUGGUUCCUCUCCUUGUGCAGUUUGAGGAUCGGCAGUGGGUUCUUUAGCGCUAGUGGCUGGAAUUUCUUUAUUGACAGACGAUGUGGGAUGAGUUUCUUCAGAGCCCAAUUGAACAGUUGUAGCCGGGGACUGAGGAACUUGUAGAAUCGGAGUGAAGAGAGGAGUAUUGGGAUGCUGACUUUCCCAAAAGUCAUCGUUCAUCACUGGUGUAGUGCACCAAAUAUCCACGUCUUCGUCUUCUUUUUCAAUUUCCUCAACACCUGCCUCUUCAGCUGUGAAAUGAGGCAUGGGUGAGGAAACAACUGGCGGUGAAGGGAAUGCUUCCACUUCAAUUUCUUCAUCAAGCUGUUCUGAGGUAGCAACAGAUUGAUUUUCUUCAUCGGAUCCGCUUGCGAUCGUAUAAUCUUCUCCAUAAGUAACAAUUUCCUUAGACGACAUGGAGGAGAUAGGAAUGGCAUCAAUUGGAUUUUCAAGUGAGCUGGUCAUUGGCUUCAUUUUCUUCGCAGCCGAAGAAUUUGACGCAGCUGAUGCCUUCCUCUUCUUCACUACAGCUCGUUCUGCAGCCUUUGUCUUCUUCACUUCAUAAGCAGAAGGAAGAAUUGGAGUCGGUAUUGGUGCAGGAGGAGCUGAGGACUAUGGAACAGUUUCUUCAGGCGCAACUGGUGCAGUUGCCCUGUUUCCUUCAGUUUCUUCAGGCGCACCACUAGUGGAUGCCCUGGGAAUUUCUUCAGCGGCUGGAAUAGAGUCAUCAGCCCUGGAACUUGAUUCUCAUCAGCAUGCUGAAAGUCAUCAGCAGUGCUGGCAUGUUCUUCAGCAGGCUGAGCAGAGUCUUCAGCCUGAGGAUUUUCUUGUUGUGAUGUGGCUGCAGCAGUUGUCAUUUUCUUUGUCAAAUUUACGAAUCUCACCUUGGCUCCUUGCCAAUCAGCAUUGUAAGCAUCAAAAUCCUUGCUGAGUGCUUGGAUUUCUGAUUGAGCUUUGAGAAGUUCUUCAGGAGUCAAGUUGACAAUGUUCUUCCUCAGAAGCUUCUCCUUUCUGGCUUGUGUUCUCUUUAAUUCACGCGCCUUUUCAAAUUUCCAUUUCUCUUCAGCGAUGAAAUGGUUCAGCAUAUGACUUUGACCAGGAGUCAGUGGCAGAUCCGGUAUGGGAGUAUUUGGAUCCUAAUGCCAUAGGUCGAUGAAGUCAAGGGUCUUCUUCGGAUCCAAAAGCAGAGGCACAUUUGUUCUUUUGGCUCUAGCGGCCUUGGUCAGUCUGUCUCUGAUGAUUUCUGCAAGUUCUUCAUCAGAGGCUUCAUCAUCAGAGGGUAUGUUGAAUGCAACCUGUUUCUUCUUUGGACUUGGCCGAGGACCGCGUCCAGCUGUUGCUUUUGUCUUCAGCAGAGUGGGGCCUGUUGAGGACAUUGGUGCAGCUGAGGAACUUGCUGAGACACCAGAAGCAAUUGAGAAACCCUGAGUCCUUUGACAUGUAGCCAGAUGCACCGGAGUUGAGGACUUGGAGGUAGCUGCUGAGGAUUUGGAGUGAGCAGCAGCAGUCUGAGGAAUUUGCCGUGAGGGCGCGGCUGAGGAACUGGGCCGUGAGGGCGCUGAUGGUGAAGCACUUGGUUUGCGAGCAGGCUUCUUCGGCAUUGAUUUCCUCGGCUUGACCGAGGGCUCAGCGGCAGCAGCAGCAGCAGUAUCCUCAUUGAAUUUCCUCACAGCCUCCUUGGCCUGUCUUGCCAAUUUGGCUUGGCGCCUGGACCAUUCUUCAGGAAAGUCUUCACCACGCUUGAUGCUGGUGGGAUCAGCGACUUGGCCAGGUGCCAGUGGAGCUCUUCGGCAUGGAGGGUUUAAAGCGAAUUUCCUCAUGUACUUGGGAGUAACAUAGCGGUAUUCCCUCCAUUCUCGUGCCCAUCUUCUUUCUAUCCUUUGAGUGCGCACUUUGCGCAGAUUUUUGGUCUCCUUGCCAAACUUGGAUUCAUCAGGUGUGCAGUAAUCUUUGUAUAUUUCAUCAGGAAUCUCAAAGGCAGUCAUGACCUCCGGUUUCUUUCCUCCCUUCUGCGGUCUCUUGCCUUCUGCCAUUUUCUUCAGAUGAGGAAUUUGAACAAUAGAGCACUCUGAAUAAGUAUGCAGUUUUUCUUCGAGGAACGCUGCAAAUGAGUUAAGUUGAUGAGAACCUAGUGAUUCAGCAGCGGACAUGAGUACCUGUGAACAGAGUGUAGGUGCGAGGAAUUUGGAGAGGUCAUAUGCGUUCUUAGACGAUUUUUCAAAAGAACAAGUUUUGAGGAAUUUGACCAGUUGGGCCUUGAGGAAUUUCACUAAGCGUUUUGUCUCAGGUUCCAGAGUUGUACAGAUUGAAAAUCCGCACAAUUGAGGAAUCUUGAAGAAAUGAAUGCUUAGAGAGAUAAAUCAAGAGCAUACAGUGUGUGAGGUGUUCAUAUGUGAAGAUUUGAAGAACAAAAACACCUUUGAAGAUUUUCAGAAAGAUUUGAGAAUCAACGCGAGUAAUAAAAGUGACUUUUAAUUACCCGAACUGAAGAACACGACGAACUGGAAUGAACUGUAGAGAAGUUCGUCACGUUAGAUCUCCCACACCCUAACUUGGCAGAGGGAGACAGCUAUGGCGGCGGCGGAGUGAAGAUUUCCGCGGCCGGCGUGAGUACGACGGCGACGAGGUCGAGGCAGUGAAGCUCUUCCUCACCGGCGGCGAUGGAGUAGCGGCAGCGCUAGGGUUUGAGGAGAGCUCGAGCGAGAGACAGCGACCGAGCAGAGUAAAUGAAGUAAGGAAGGGAGAGGGGUAUUUAUAGCCACUGUGAAAACUGUUCGCCCGAAGAUUUUGGGACGAACAUGCCCCUGCCAUUUCUUCUUCACGCGACAUGUGUCACUCACGUACUGUGCAGAUGAGAUCGUGUAAGAUCGUGGGUGAUUAAACUAAUGCAUCGUGGGAUGCGGAACGGUUUGAGCGGUAAAACUGAAAACUUGGAUAAGAUUUGUUAAAAAUUUUGUUCGUAAUUUCUUCAGCUGUCAAGGACACAGUGAAGACUUUGAACGAGUUUCAAUCAGAACGCACAUGAAGAAUUUGUGAAUAGAUUGGAUUGAGUAUAGCAUAGAGGGGGAAGGGUCUGAUCACAUUCACUUAGCAGAAAUAGCAACUUGAAGAAAUAGCAAUAAGUGAAUGCUGUAGAGGACAUAAACUCAUAUAUAUAUAUAUAUAUAUAUAUAUAUAUAUAUAUAUAUAUAUAUAUAUAUAUAUAGCCNNNNNNNNNNNNNNNNNNNNNNNNNNNNNNNNNNNNNNNNNNNNNNNNNNNNNNNNNNNNNNNNNNNNNNNNNNNNNNNNNNNNNNNNNNNNNNNNNNNNNNNNNNNNNNNNNNNNNNNNNNNNNNNNNNNNNNNNNNNNNNNNNNNNNNNNNNNNNNNNNNNNNNNNNNNNNNNNNNNNNNNNNNNNNNNNNNNNNNNNNNNNNNNNNNNNNNNNNNNNNNNNNNNNNNNNNNNNNNNNNNNNNNNNNNNNNNNNNNNNNNNNNNNNNNNNNNNNNNNNNNNNNNNNNNNNNNNNNNNNNNNNNNNNNNNNNNNNNNNNNNNNNNNNNNNNNNNNNNNNNNNNNNNNNNNNNNNNNNNNNNNNNNNNGACGGAAACAUUGAAGAUUUUGCAAAGUUGAAGAAUUUGAAAAACUGAGGAAUUUCAAAAAUGAGGAAAAACUCAAAUUGAAGACUUUCAACUUUUGUGGUGGCGUAGCCCACCGUAUAAGAAUGAUGAUUUCAGAUACCGCGUACAAUUGUCGUAGGGUUCUGAGAAUCAAAUUCUUCAUUAAUUUCCUCACACUUAGAAUGUUAUUCUUCAUUGAUUGAAGAAAAACGUUUCUUCAUGUGUUGCACAUCUAAGUCAUCAAUUAUGCAUAAGGGUUAGGAUGUGUGUCCUUUUCAAAGAACAUUCGAAGAUUCUAAGAUAUUUAGCUCACACCGCAACUUGCUAAAUCUCUUCUCAUCCAAGGGCUUAGUGAAGAUAUCAGCUAGCUAUUCUUCAGUCUUCACAUGCUCGAUGGAGAUAUCGCCCUUCAACACAUGAUCACGAAGAAAAUGAUGACGAAUCUGAAUGUGCUUAGUCUUCGAGUGCUGAACUGGGUUGUGAGAAAUCUUGAUAGCACUCUCAUUGUCGCAGAGGAGAGGCACAUUCUUCACGUUGACGCCAUAGUCCUUGAGGGUUUGCUUCAUCCAAAGCAGUUGAGCACAGCAUGAGCCAGCAGCAAUGUAUUCAGCUUCAGCAGUAGACAGUGAUACACAGUUCUGUUUCUUCGAGGACCAACAGACCAAAGAUCGUCCAAGGAAAUGACAACUGCCAGACGUUGACUUGCGGUCCACACGAUCACCAGCAUAGUCAGAGUCAGAAUAUCCAAUGAGAUCAAAAGCAAAGCCCUUGGGGUACCAUAAUCCUAGUGUUGGUGUGUGAGCUAGAUAUCGAAGAAUAUGCUUCACAGCCUUAUGGUGUGAUUCCUUCAGUGCAGCUUCAAAUCGGGCACACAUGCAAACACUAAGCAUUAUAUCUGGCCUAGAUGCACAUAAGUACAAUAAAGAACCAAUCAUGGAGCGGUAUACCUUGUGAUCGAAGUCAAUACCAUUUUCAUCAGUGCAUAGAUGGCCAUUUGUGGGCAUAGGAAUUUUGACGCCUUUGCAAUCUUGCAUGCCGAAUUUCCUCAGUACAUCUUUGAGGUAUUUCUCCUGAGAUAUGAAUAUGCCAUUGCGCUGCUGACGAAUUUGAAGACCUAAGAAGAAUUUCAACUCUCCCAUCAUAGACAUUUGAUAUUCUUCACUCAUCAUAUAGACAAAUUCAUCACUGUAUCGUUGGUUAGUACAGCCAAAGAUAAUAUCAUCAACAUAUAUUUGGCACACAAACAGUUCACCAUCAUAUGAUUUAGUAAAUAGAGUAGGGUCAAGUGAACCGGGUGUGAAGCCAUUCUUCACGAAGAAUUCCUUCAAUGUGUCAUACCACGCCCGAGGGGCUUGCUUGAGGCCAUAGAGGGCCUUAUUGAGUUUGAAGACUUUGUCAGGAUUCCUAGGAUCUUCAAAACCUAGGGGUUGAGCAACAUACACUUCUUCCUCAAGCUUACCAUUGAGGAAUGCACUUUUCACAUCCAUUUGAUAUAAGAUGAUAUCAUGAUGGUUAGCAUAGGCAAGUAAAAUGCGAAUAGCUUCAAGUCUAGCAACAGGUGCAAAAGUUUCAUCAAAAUCAAUUCCUUCAACCUGUGUGUAGCCUUGAGCUACUAGUCGUGCCUUAUUCCUCACCACAAGGCCAUUUUCAUCUUGCUUGUUGCGGUAGAUCCACUUUGUGCCAAUGUUAUUAUGCUUGCGAGGAUCUGGGCGAUUGACCAAUUCCCAGACAUUGUUCAACUCGAACUGAUGUAAUUCUUCUUGCAUAGCCUGAAUCCACUCCGGCUCCAGAAAUGCUUCAUCUACCUUAGUGGGCUCUGAGAUAGAGACAAAAGCAUAGUGCCCACAAAAGUUAGAUAAGUGUGAGGCUUUUGAGCAUGUGAGAGGACCUGGUGCACUAAUAUCAUCAAUGAUCUUCUCCACUUGCACUUCUUUUGCAACGCGUGGAUGAGUUGGCUGUCGCUGAGGAUUUUGAUCAGCAUUUUCUUCAGCACCAUUUUCCUCAUCAUGUUCUUCAGGUGCAUCAGUUCGACAUUCUUCAUGAACAGGAAUGAAUUCUUCAGCAGAUUCUUCAGUAGGAAUGACAUCCUCAGUUGCCUUGAGCUUGAUAGCAUCCUUAGGUGCUGGUUCAUCUAACACAGAAGGUAGGUCCUCUCUUUGCGAGCCAUUAGUUUCAUCGAACCGCACAUCUACAGUGUCAACAAUCUUGUGAAGAACAAUGUUGAAGACUCUGUAGGUGUGCGAGUCCUUUCCGUAACCAAGCAUAAAACCUUCAUGUGCUUUCGGUGCAAAUUUAGAAUUGUGGUGAGGAUCUUUAAUCCAACAUUUAGCACCGAAGACUUUGAAAUAACUCACAUUGGGUUUCUUAUCAGUGAGGAGUUCAUAGGUAGUCUUCUUGAAGAAUUUGUGAAGAUAUACUCUGUUGAUGAUGUGGCAGGCAGUAUCAAUUGCAUCAAUCCAAAAGCGCUAAGGCGUUUUGUAUUCAUCAAGCAUAGUGCGAGCCAUCUCAACAAGAGUUCUGUUCUUGCGCUCCACGACGCCAUUCUGCUGAGGAGUAUAAGGAGCAGAUAAUUCAUGAGUAAUACCAAGUUCAUCAAGAUAGACAUCAAGACAAGAAUUCUUGAACUCAGUUCCAUUGUCACUUCUGAUAUGCUUGAUCUUCACACCAAAGUUGGUUGAAGCCCUCGAGGAAAAUCGUUUGAAGACUUCCUGCACUUCAUGUUUGUAAGUAACAAUGUGUACCCAUGUAUAUCGAGAAUAAUCAUCAACAAUGACAAAACCAUAUAGAGAUGCAUCAUUAGUGACAGCUGAAUAAUGGUUAGGUCCGAAGAGGUCCAUGUGAAGCAAUUCGAAUGGACGGGUAGUGGUCAUGAUAGUCUUCGCGGGAUGCUUGGCCUUGGUCAUUUUUCCGGCUUCACAUGCUCCGCAUAAGUGAUCCUUGAGGAAUUUGACAUUCUCAAUGCCAAUGACAUGCUUCUUCUUUGCAAGCGUGUUCAAAUUCCUCAUGCCUGCAUGACCAAGUCGUCGAUGCCAUAGCCAGCCUUCUGAAGCUUUUGCAAGUAGACACAUGGCUGGUUGUGGUCCUGUAUAGAAAUCAACAAUAUACAGAUCUCCUCUCCUAAAGCCUUCGAAGACUUUGGAAUUGUCAGCUUCCAUAAUCACAACGCAGCGAUAUUUGCCAAAGACAACAACCAUAUCAAGAUCACAAAGCAUUGAGACUGACAUGAGAUUGUAUCCUAAGGACUCAACAAGCAUGACUUUGUCCAUGUGCUUAUCCUUAGAGAUAGCAACCUUACCAAGACCCAAUACCUGACUUUUUCCUUUGUCAGCAAAGAUGAUAUGCUUCAGAGGUGACGGUGAUAAGGGAGCAUCCAUCAAUAGAUUCUUGUCACCAGUCAUGUGAUUUGUACAUCCACUAUCGAGGACCCAUUCAGUGGUUUUGGGUUGAUCAUCCUGCAGAUGAAUUAGUGUAACUUACAAUCUCAUAUGCUUCAUCAGUGAAGAAUAUGAUAUCAAGUUCAUCAGAUGAAUUUCAUCAAGCAGUAAACAGAUAUAGCAGUAUGAGGACGUGUGAAAUGAAAGUUCAUUUCAUCAUGAUUCGCCUCCGUCCUUUCAGGCAUUUUGUCAGGUCCCCAGCAAAUUCUUCGGACGUUAGAGCACGUCUGGAGACCUGACCCUGCAGAAGAGAUUAGUUCUUUUUCUUCACCACCCACAUCUGGAGGGGUGGCAAAGAGUUCAUCAUCCAGCGAGCACCAUGUGAGAAAGGUGGCAAAGAUGCCAAACCAUUUCGCUUAGCAUAGGAGGGGUUAGGGUAAGCAUAUGAAUAAGCAGAGUAAUUCUUCGAGGACUUAUGAACAUAAUGGUUUGAAGAAUAAUGCACAUAUUCAUAGCCCUUAGCUCUACCCUGCAAGGCAGAUUUGUCAGUACGAUGAUAAUCAUAUGAGGACUUUGAUCCAGUUGAGGAAUUUGAUCCUCGUGAAGAAUUUGGUCCAUAUGAGGACUUGGAUCCAUACGAAGAGUUUGGUCCAUAUGAAGAAUUUGAUCAGGGGUUCCUGUUUGUCACAGGUGGUGUCAUGAGGAUAUUCACCUGAAGACUUUCAACACAGCUUUUGGGAACCCAGAUUUUCUUCAUAGGAGAACCGUUCCUACAGUUAGUGCCAACAUAUCUAGCAAAUACUUCACCAUUCUGAUUUUUGAACAGUUUAUAGUUGGAGUCAAAUGACUCAUCAGAAGAAUGAGGAGAUUCACAUGUAAAGCCAGAUAAGUUAGAUGGAUCAACCGGAGGUCCUUUUGCAGCAACCCAUGAGGUUUUGGGGUACUGCUCAGGCUUCCAAUAUGUUCCAUCGGCAUUGAGUUUCCUCUCAAAGGCAAUACCCUCUUUCCUAGGGUUUCUGUUGAGGAUCUGCUUUUUGAGCACAUCACAAAGUGUCUGAUGCCCUUUGAGGCUUUUGUACAUGCCUGCCAUGUACAAUUCCUUCAGCCCUGCAUUGUCAGUGAUACUAGCAAUGUCCUAAGAUGAGGAAUUAGUGAUAGCAGAGGCAAAUGAAGAAUUUGUAACAUUUGAAGCAUUUGAACAUUCAGGUGAAGAAUUAGCAGAUUCACGUUCAAUGCACUUUAAGCAUGGAGGAACAAAUUCUUCCUGAGAAGCGCUGAUUUGUUGAGCUAGUAAUGAAUCGCGCUCCUUCUGAAGAUCUUCAUAACACACUCUUAGCUUUUCAAGAUCUUCCUUUCUUUGAAGAGCUUCAAGAGGAAGCUUCUCAUGAUCUUGCUUCUCUUGAAGAAAUUCAUAUGAAAGUUUCUCAUGAUCAGACAAGAGAGAGUUAUGAUGACCUUGAAGAUUAUCAUAGCUAGACUGAAGUCUCUGAAGAUUUUCAGUCAAGGCUUUAGUGCGAUCCAUUUCUUCACCCAACAUAUCAUCACUUUUAUCUAGCAUGUUUUGAACCUUCUCAAGAGCCCGUUGUUGUUUCACAACAAUUUUAGCAAGUUUAGAGUAGCUAGGCUUAAGAUCCUCAUCAGAUUCAUUUUCACUAGAAUCAGAGGAGUUGUAUUUGAGUACCUUAGCUCCUUUUGCCAUGAAGCAAUAGGUGGGAGCGUAGCCAUCAUUAUCUUCAUCAGUCUUGUCGGUGGAGUCAGUUUCUUCAGUGUUGAAGAUGGACUUGCUGACGAAAGCAGUAGCAACGGCCAGACUCGCCACAACAGACUCAGAUUCUUCAGACUCCUCCUCUUCAUCAUUUUCCUCAGAUUCAGCUUCAGAGUCCAUUUCCUUGCCAAUGAAUGCCCGAGCUUUCUUGGAGCUGCCCUUCUUGUGAGAUGAAGACCUUGAGGGUUUUGAUGACGAAGAUUUUGACGAUUUCUUCUUCUUCUUCAUAUCAUCAGAACUGUAAUCCUUGUAUUUCUUCUUCUUCAUUUCCUUUUCCCACUGAGGACAAUCUUGAAUAUAGUGACCAGGCUUCUUGCAUUUGUGGCAAAGUCUUCUCUUGUAGUCACUGGAUGAAGAAUCAUUUCCUCUUGAGGGUUUUCCAAAGCGACCACGUCUUGUGAACUUCUGGAAUUUCUUCACAAGCAGAGCUAGAUCCUGGCUCAGUUCUUCAGGAUCACCAAGGCUACUACCAGAAUCCUCACAUUCAGAGUCAGACACAACCUUAGCCUUCAGGGCACGUGGUUUGCCAUAGUUUGAGCCAUAUAGAUCUCUCUUUUCAGCAAGCUGGAACUCGUGAGUGUUAAGCCUUUCGAGGAUAUCAGCAGGAUCAAGCGACUUGUAGUCAGCACGUUCUUGUAUCAUCAGUCCCAGAGUAUCAAAUGAGGAAUCAAGCGAUCUUAGCAGUUUCUUCACAACUUCAUGAUCAGUGAUGUCAGUGGCACCGAGGGCUUGAAGCUCAUUUGAGAUGUCAGUGAGGCGAUCAAAGGUUUGUUGGACAUUUUCGUCGUCGAGUCUUUUGAAGCGGUUGAAGAGAUUCCGAAGAACAUCGACUCGAGAGUCACGCUGAGUUGAGACUCCUUCGUUUACUUUGGACAACCUAUCCCAGAUAAGCUUAGCAGUUUCCAAAGCACUCACUCUUCCAUACUGUCCUUUGCUCAGAUGGCCAUAGAUGAUAUUCUUCGCUUGAGAAUCGAGUUGUUUGAAUCUCUUCACAUCGGUAGCGGUCAGUGUUUCAGUGACAGAGGGGACACCAUUUUCGACAACAUACCAGAGAUCAUUGUCAAUUGCCUCAAGAUGCAUUCGCAUCUUGUUCUUCCAGUAGGGGUAGUCCGUUCCAUCAAAGGUAGGACACCCAGCCGAGACCUUGAUCAUACCUGUGGUCGACAUAACUAGAACUCCAGGUGGUUAAACCAAAAUCACACAGAACAAGGGAGUACCUUGCUCUGAUACCAAUUGAAAGUGCGUUAUAUCGACUAGAGGGGGGGGUGAAUGGGAGAUUUUUAUGAAUUCUUCACUGAGGAAUUUGCCGGUGAGGAAAUUCCUUAGCGAAGAACUACUUGCAGCGGAAUAUGUACUCAAAAGUAAACAUAACAGGAUACACACAUAGUCAGCAUGAUGAAAUGAAGACUAAGACAGAGUACGGAAAGCGUAAACACAGGAUAGCAAGAUGAAGACAAACAGACUGAAGAAAUUGAACUGAGGAAUUUGUGAAAGUCUUCAGUCAAUGUCUUCAAGCACAGAUAUGAACAACAUUCAACACAGUAAUGAGGAAAUGAAUGAGUUGAGGAAAUAGAACCAGUCAGUUGGUGAAGACAAUGAUUUGGUAAACCAGUUCCAACUGCUGUCUCAGUUGUACGUCUGGUUGGAGCGGCUGAGUAUUUAAACUCGAGGACACACAGUCCCGGACACCCAAUCUCUAAGCCGCAACUCAGGACACCCAGUCCUCACCGUAUUCUCCUUGAACUAAGACCACGCAGGCCUCGUCCAAUCACUCGUGGUAAGUCUUCAGGUGACUUCCAAACCUUCACAGACUUGGUCACUUGGCGAUCCACAAUUCCUCUUGGAUGCUCUAGACCUUGACGCCUAACCGUCUGGAAGAAGCACAGUCUUCAAAGGUAACAAGCGUCGGAUCCACGCAGGAUCAAUUUCUUCAGUGAUGCUCAAUCACUUUGGGUUUGUGGGGGUUUGGUUUUGGGAUUUUCCUCACUUGAUGAUUUUCGCUCAAAGUCCUCGGAGGAUGGGUUGCUCUCAAAUGACAAGUGUCAAGUUCUCUCGGAGCAGCCAACCAACUAGUGGUUGUAGGGGGCGGCUAUUUAUAGCCUAGGGAGCAGCCCGACAUGAUAAGACACAAAUGCCCUUCAAUGAUAUGACCGUUAGGUGGAUAAGAUAUUUUAGGACAGCCGGUGCGCAGCACAUCAACGGUCGGAAAUUUGACUCUCAAAUUCCUCAGGGCUAUCAUGUUCCUCACUGUGUAGGCAAUUCGCACUGGCGAAUUCCUAACUCCUCAAUCAGAGCAAAGUCAUCAGCGACCAGAAGAACUGCGUCUCUGUCACUGAAGAAUUUGACUGAACUGUAUGAGAUUUCCAAUGGCUUCACUCGAAGGGAUUGGUAGGUGUAGGAUUUUGAGUUGAGCAUCACUUGGAAAUUUUUCCUUAGUAUUUCCUCGACCCCCUUUAACAGUACGGUGUUUCCUAUGACUCAAGAAAGAGAAAAUGAAACUACGAAAACAAAAGUCUUCACGCUUCAUAUUCCUCGAAUGAAUAUCAAGUCUUCAAGGUCACACCAAUUUCUUCACUUUCAAAGUCUUCAGAAAGUCUUCAGAAUAUCAAAGUCUUCAGUCGAAGAACUUCAUUUUUAGGGGUCGACUUUCUCUGUAAAUAUCAAACUCCUCAUAGACUUAUAGACCUAUGUACACUCACAAACGCACCAGUUACUUAACCUAUAAGUCUUCAAUACACCAAAAUCACUAAGGGGCACUAGAUGCACUUACAAUGUUCAGUUCCAAACCCCUCUAAGGCCCUGAAGUGGAUUUAAACACGGGAAGGGCAACGAUCCAUCCCACAUUAGUACAACAAGCAACUACAUGGGCCUAGCUGGUAGCAACCUCGCACCAACUAUCAGCUGAAUACAUCCAUUCCUAAACAUCUUCUACAGCAUAUACAACCACCGACGGAUCUAAGCAUCUUCAGUAAACUAAGCGAAUAAUCUGGAGAUGUAUGACAACCACACAAACACACACACAUGUUAUGAUUAUAUGAAUGUUCCUCACAAAAGUUAAACAAGGAUUAUAACUACUUGUCAAGCCACGUUAAACACAAGCAGUUGAGAAAAUUUACAGUCACUUAACCUAGGAGAUGCAACUACCCUAAUGCCUCACCCAAGAUCUAAUACAAUAACUCGCCAGGGCAUGAAAAAUCAGGAGGAAAGCAUCAUACACAAUAGCUCCUUUAACAGAACUAAAACCUGAAACGCCGGACUAAUUUAGCACAUCGGAACAAGAAAAGAUGGUCACAGGCAUCUGAGAGCAUCACAGUUAUGUUCACUUGAAGGGCCUAAAGUGGAUCUAUAUACUGGCGAGGCAAAUGAUCCAUCCAGCACCAGUACAGCAAGCAACAACUGAACAACUCCAUUCCUAAGCAUCUUCUACACCACAUACGGCCACCGACGAACCUAAACCACCACCAAAUUUGCACCAAGAACAGGAACAAAUCACGACUAUUGGUAGCAGGAAAACACGCGUUCGGCCUCCAAAUCAAAGCACAGCACGACGCGAUCCAACAAAGACUAGACUAGCAUGAGGUGCCAGGGUAAACCUUGCUAGAAAGAAAUUGAGGAAGGGGGAAUUUUUCACUGUACCUCGCUUCGACAUCUUGGAAGAGGGGGCGGUACCCGGCGGCGGCGGAGGAGGGGGAAGGACGGCACCGGGGCCGCCGGGGUNNNNNNNNNNNNNNNNNNNNNNNNNNNNNNNNNNNNNNNNNNNNNNNNNNNNNNNNNNNNNNNNNNNNNNNNNNNNNNNNNNNNNNNNNNNNNNNNNNNNNNNNNNNNNNNNNNNNNNNNNNNNNNNNNNNNNNNNNNNNNNNNNNNNNNNNNNNNNNNNNNNNNNNNNNNNNNNNNNNNNNNNNNNNNNNNNNNNNNNNNNNNNNNNNNNNNNNNNNNNNNNNNNNNNNNNNNNNNNNNNNNNNNNNNNNNNNNNNNNNNNNNNNNNNNNNNNNNNNNNNNNNNNNNNNNNNNNNNNNNNNNNNNNNNNNAGAGAGAGAGAGAGAGAGUGUCGGGGUUGCUCUCUUCUGCGGCCUCGAGCACCUAUGGGGCACUGGGGGCCCAUUCUGGUUCGGCAAGGGAGCGGGGGUCGCGCGCAGAGCAGAUCGAGGUUAGGCGCACGCGGGGAGACAUGCGAUCUUUACCCAGCUUCGGGGCUCUCCGGAGAGAUAACACCCCUACUGCUGCUCUGUGUUGUUAUAGAAUCUAGCUCGAGCGUGCGAGCAUAUGGUGGUGCUGCGGGUGUCGAAUGAACCGAACCCCUUCUACAUGCACAUGGGCCUCCCUUUUAUAGUCCGAAGGGGGUACCCACAGGUGGCAGCAUAGGAAGAGGGGGUAGAAACGUAAAAGCGCAGGUUGGUACAACAGUGCACAACAGUGCCCCUACCUAACUCUGACGGCAGGGGACAAGGGCAUUAAAUGCCCGUCCGGUCGCCCAACAGUGCAAGUGGAGUGACCGUUAAGUGAGCCUCCGGGUGCCACGAUGGCGCUUCUGUCGGCUCCGUUUGCCACCUCGCUCUGCAUGGUUGUGUAGCAUCUCGCCACAUGCUCUUGGGAUGGCCUGGUGAUGACGCGUCACUGGGUGCGCAGGAGUUGGGUGGCAGCCUCACCGCGGUCCUUUUGUUGUGCUGGCAAGCUUGCCGGCCGCUGGACCUUGCCGGGGCGCGCGGGGCGCCGCGGCAAGUUUUCUGGUGAUGCCAUGGUUAGCCCUCCCGGCAAGCUCUUCUUGCCGGGGCCUUCGUGUUCUUGGCUGGUACUUUGUUCUUGAAUGGCAGUGAUAAGGAGUGGUGGGGAGCCUUGCCGGACGUCAGGCGAGCCUCGCCGCGGGGUGCUGCGACUGCCCGUGCACAAGUUCGGGGUACUAAGGUGCCCCCCUACUUUAGUACACCGACAGGAGCCCCCGGGCCUGGGCCAUACACGGUGCCGAGCGUUGUUGGGCCAGGCCCAAGACAGUGCACGGGCACACGUGGCCUGGUUCCGCACAGCAAUGGGCUCCGCACCCACCGCGCUCUCCCGCAACAGCACACGUCGAUUGCGGUGUCGUGGGAGACGUGGGUGGCGGAUGUGCCCUUUAAGGCAUCCACACCCGUGAUCGUGGUGCAGGGCGAGGUCUUUUCACCCGUCGCUCCGGCCCCGCUUUUUCGCCACGCGGCCCUCAUGCAGAGGCCGAGCCGUCACGGGCGAAGAUGGUGGGUCGGCCCCGCUCCUCUACCCCUCUCGCUUUCCGAUUGGCUGGGCGGGGCGGCUGAGCCCCCACCUCGUCCUUUAAAAGGGGCGGAAGGGGAGCACAAUAGUCUUGCACCUCCUCUCUUCCCUUCGUCUUCAACUUCCGUUACUCUUCCUCCCAUCUGCUAUGGAGGGAGGGAAUCCUGGUUCUUCUAUGGUGGCAGCAAGGGUCGCCUCCAGGCAGCGCGCCUCUCCCUAUCCUGCACCCGUGGCAGCGGAGCCGGCCACGAGGGGGAGAGGUAGGGGGCGGGGCCGCGAACAGGGCCGAGGACGUGGUGGAGGCGGUCGGGGGAGAGGCGGCCGGGGCGAUGCGCCUCCCCCAUCUCCGCCGGCGGCUCCUUUCCUCGAGGCGGUCCACACUGGAGACGAUCCCUGGGAGUUCUUCAUCAAGCUGCGCCGAGCGCCUCGUCGCCGCCUCCGGCUGCCGGCCCCGUUCGCGAGUGCGAUGGAACCGGAUCCGCUCGAGGUGAUAUAGUUGCGCAUGAGGGGCUGCGGGAUGAGCGGCACUCGAGUGAGUGUCGUGUCCCCAGCCCCCGGCGUGAUGUACUUUGACCGAGGGUGGAAGACGUUCGCCCGCAUCCACAGCUUGACGGCGGGGUUUACCCUCCAUUUCAAACUAAUGGAGGGCGACCUUCUCGCUGUCAAGGUCUUCGGGGACUCCGGGACCCGGGCGAGAUGCUGUGUGGACAGCUCCUCCGAUAGCGAAGGUCCCUCCUCGAGCGAGAGUGACGAGGAGGGGAGCGACAGCGACGACGACGAGGAUGGCGAGUCCGACUAGGCGUCGGACGCUGCCGCGCGCGCCACCGGCGACCCCAUCAUCCGGGUCGCCGGCCUUCCGAACUCCCCGGGGCCAUCUCCUUGGGCGGCUGACGUAGGGAGGCUGCAGAAGAGGAAGAGGGGUGGCGGCAAGGCCGUCAAAUCGGAGUACGAGGGCGAGGAGCCCUCGUCAGCGUGCUGACGUCCCACCACCCCGUCUUCAAGCUCUGCCUCCGGCGCCUCCGUCUCCGCCAAGCCCCUGGCCGGCCCCCGGGAAGUUCUCUUGGUGUCUUCUGGCGCCCGUAGCUCUCCUAGGCGCCCCUUUCGCCCUCCCCGGCAAGCUUCUCUUGCCGGGGACUCCUUGACCUACCUCCUGAACAGAGAAACAGGAGGGGGAUUACGGGCACCUUAUCUUUUAACUUGUAAGCCUUCGGGCCUUAGUUGCAUUUAAAAUAUGUAAUCCUCUCUAUCAUGUUUUUCAUCCUCGUAUGGACUUGUACUAAACCGGGAUGUUUUUAAUGAAAAAGAAGAGGGGAACGCUUGUCGGGCCAAGUCCUCAACUUUGUGCUUUGUACAUUCCCACCCUACGCUUCUAGGGGACUCGUCGGAGCGAACACACGUGCUGAGUGCGGGACGUCAGCAGCCCGCUGGCGGUGUUGCUUCCGGCAAGGAGACCUUGCCGGGCCAGUUGCAGCGCGCUUGUGUUGCUGAGCGGACUCGGAAACAACCCAAGGGCGCAACUUAGCCGCGACUCGGCCCCUCCGCGCACGGGUUUCUUUUUACAAAGCACACUCGUUCAAGGACGCGGCCCCGCCUUCCCCGGUCCACAAGAGGAUGCAUGACGAGGGAUGAGAAACUUAUCUGACUCCGUAGCUUCCCGGCGACCUUGGUUUGCCGGGAGAGGAACCUUGGCACUCGCAGCCCCCAGCGAAGCUGGCUAGUCAGGGCCUGUGCGCCAACGCGUCCUUCUGGCUUCUCCUUGCCACUGUAAUCAUAGUCAUGAAAAUAACUGAGACAGCGUUGAAAAUAAGCUAUUCUUUCAUGAUGCGAUUCUACCAUGCGAUGCCAUUCUUUGUCCUUCGUAUGUUCGCACUCUACGCUUCUGGGGAACUUGCCGGGGCGAACACACUUGCUGAGCGCGGGACAUCAGCAGCCCGCUGGCGGUGUUGUUCCCGGCAAGAAACCUUCUCGGGCCGGUUGCAGCGCACCUGUAUUGCCGAGCGGACUCGGAAACAACGCAAGGGCGCAACCUAGCCGCGAGUAGGUUCCUCUGCGCACAAGUUUCUCAUACAAAGGCUGCCCUAUGGCAAGGCUUCCUAUGCUAUGCCCUCCGUUUCGUCGUGUCCCUUGUACGUUUUUAACCCUACGCUUCUAGGGAACUUGCCGGGGCUAACACACUUGCUGAGUGCGGGACGUCAGCAGCCUGCUGGCGGUGUUGUAUCCGGCAAGAAACCUUCUCGGGCCAGUUGCAGCAUUCCUGCAUUGUUGAGUGGACUUGGAAACAAAGCAAGAACGCAACUUAAUCCCGAGUCGGCUCCUCUGCGCACAGUUUUUUUUACAAGGGAUAAACGCUCGAGGGGUAUAACACAGGGCUAUGGGACUGAGAAGUGCUCUUGCACAAAAGCUCGGGUGACUUAGCUUUUCUGUCUUCGGUGGCCUAAUGGGGUCAUACUUCUUCCUUGGUUGCCACCACCCCUUUGUAUGUGUUUUUUUUACGCUUUUCGGGGGAACCCUUUGGUGCAAACACACUUGCUGAGUGCAGGGCACUAGCAGCCCGCUGGCGGUGUUGCCUCCGGCGGGAAGAACUCGGCGGGCUGAUUGCGGCGCGCUCCUACCGCCGAAUAAAUUCAAAGCGGAUUGACGGUGCAACCUAACCACGACCCGACCCCUCUGCGCUCGGGUUCUUCAUACAAGGGGUGGACUUCUAGAAAACACGAUCUCAAAAGCUCGCAGUUCGGUAGCUUUCUUUGCUUCCUCAGCCGGCAGAGCUCGAUGGCGUGUCCUCGACGGCAGCGCAGCGCUCCGGGGAGGGGUGCGUGCCGGAGUCGGCACCAGAGCUACUUUCGCCGGACUUGGCCUUCUUCUUCUCCCGGGGAGCUUCAGCGGCAAGUGGCUCGCGCUCUACUGCAGCUGAUGCUUCCUGGUAUAUCUUGUCGGCGCAGAUGAGCGCAUCCCUCUUGUCGCCUUGGACGGAGAUGACACUCAUCGGACCGGGCAUCUUGAGCACAUUGUAUGCAUAGUGAGAGGCCGCCAUGAACUUAGCGAGUGCGGGUCGGCCGAGUAUCCCGUUGUAGGGCAAGGGGAUAUCAGCCACAUCGAACGUGACCCUCUCAGUCCUGAAGUUCAGUUUGCUGCCAAACGUCACUGGCAAUGUGAUCUUCCCCUUAGGCUUGCUCCUUCCCGGAUUUAUUCCUUGAAAGGUGCCAGUUUCUUCUAGCUCGCUGUCGGGGAUCUGGAGCUUCUUGAGCACUGCGGAGGAAAUCAAGUUCAGGCCGGCCCCGCCAUCUACCAGCAUCUUCGUGACCUUGAGGUUGCGGAUGGUUUGUGAAACCAGCAUCGGCAAGCACCCGAUCGCGGUGACACGAUCAGGGUGGUCCUCAACGUCGAAGACGAUGGGCGUGCCGGACCACUUCAAAGGCCUGCGUGCCUCGACGGACGGCUCCGCUGCAUUCACUUCUCGCACCCAUUGUUUGAGUUGGCGGUGCGAGGAGUGCAGGGAGGCGCCGCCAUCGAUGCACAACACUUAUGUCGCCUUCUGAAAUUCCUGAUCAUCGGUCUCAUCUUCCUCCAUCUCUUCGUCCUCAUCUUCACCUUCGUCCUUGUCGCGGCCGCGGGGAGGCCUGUCACCUUGCCGCGUCUUGGCCUGGCUGCGGUUCCCUCCCCAGGCAAGAAGCUUCUUGCCGGAUCCUCCGCCACCUCCCUGGGCUCUCUCCUUAUCGCGGCGCUUGUAUUCUGCUUUUUGCAGCUCCGCCAUCUGCUCUACUUUUUUGCAGGUUUGGAGGUCGUGGCCCUUGGUGCGGUGGAUCUUGUAGUAACGCUUGCCGGAGCCGUCCUGCUUGUCGGCGGCCGCUACAGCCUCGGCGGAAUCGUCGGUCUUGGCCUUGUCGGAGCCGCCUCCGUUGCCGGAAUGCUCAACGGCUAGCACAUCCUUAGCUUUCCUCUUCCUAUUGUUCCGCCUCUGGUUCUUCCUCGUCGGGGCGGCAUCCUCGCUGUCAGAUCCUUCUGCUCCGACAAUCUCUCCGGGGAUUUUCCUUCCCUCCUCAGCUCGUGCACACUUGUCGGCCAGAGCGUAAAGCUCGUUGACAUCUCUGAUUUUGCACAUCGCCAUCUCCUCCCUCAUCCUGCGGUUACGCACGUUCUGAUGAAACGCGCUAAUAACCGCGGCAGGGUGAACGUCUGGGAUGUUGCGUUGCACCUGGCUGAAUCUUUGUAUAUACUUGCGCAGGGGCUCCCCCUCCUUCUGGACGAGCAAGUGGAGGUCACUUUCCUGGCCAUGAGGUUUGUGGCCACCCGUGAAGGCACCGACAAACUGAUGGCACAGGUCCGCCCAUGAGGAGAUGGAGCCGUCCGGCAAGUGCAUGAGCCAAGAUCUGACGUUGGCUUGAGUACCAGCGGGAAGUAGUUGGCGAGGAUCUUCUCGUCGCGCCCUCCGGUAGCCUGCACCGCGAUGGUGUAGAUGCUGAGGAACUCCGACGGAUGUAUCCUGCCGUCAUACUUCUCGGGCACGUCUGGCUUGAAAUUCUUGGUUUUGGGCCACUAGACCUGCCACAACUCGCGGGUGAACGCAAGGCAACCUGCCGCGUACGGCAAGUCGCCUGGUUCUCCGGCUGCGUGCGCGUCGACAGCGGGCCCGGCGCGAUGGUCAGAUUGACGUCGCGCUUCUCGCCGGCGUUCGAUGCGGGUACGAGCGUCUUCGUGUUGCCGUUCUUGAAGGACGUGGCGUUGAUCGCGGCGAGUUCGCGGGUCCGAUGACGCGGUGGAGUCGGCGUCAAGGUUGGUCCGGCGAGCUGGCGAUCUCGGCCCUUGGGGUUGGGAGCGCACAGAAGCGGCACCCCCAGCGGUCCUGUUGGCACCGGCCUGCGCCGGGGCGUCCUACCGGGCCCUCGACGCGCUUGGUCGCCGGGGCUUGUCGCCGUUGGCGAAGCCGAUGAGGCUGUGUAUGGCCAUCCUCCAGUCGUCGAUCUUGUGCGGCGCCGGAGGGAAGUCUAGGAGGAGCUGGGGCCGGGCCAGCGCUUCCUCUGCUGUCUUGGGUGGCGGUGGUGACGAACGGCGCGAUGAGCGGGAGGUGCUUGGACUCCCAACUGGGUUGGGAGGCACCACACCCCGUCUGGGCGACCGUAUCUCGCUCGCGCCAGCAUGCGGGCGUGCAUGCUGACCUCGGGCGUCCCGCGACCCACCAUGUUGGCCUUGUUCCAGUGCGAGUACGGUGCUAGGAGCACCGGGGCGUUGUCGACCUUGCACCUCCUGGGAGGGGUGCGGCGUCUGCUCGGUCGCCGACGCCUGCGGGGCCUUGUUUUUGGAUCUAGUGACGAUACGAGACCCACCGGCGGCGCCCGCUCCUCCGCCGGUGUCCGUCCCGCCGCCCGUUUGCUCCGGCGGUGGUGGCAGAACCGAUGUAGACGGCGCGGCCACCUCCGAAGGCUUCUUCUUCGGUGGCAUGUUGACGAUGGCGUUGAUGCAGCGUGCGUGGAGACCGGAUCAGAUGCUCACGACCUCGAUGCGCCCCCCUACCUGGCGCGCCAAAGAUGUUGGGGUCGCUCUCUUCUGAGGCCUCGAGCACCUAUGGGGCACUGGGGGCCCCUUCUGGUUCGGCAAGGGAGCGGGGGUCGCGCGCAGAGCAGAUCGAGGUCAGGCGCACGGGAGACAGGCGAUCUUUACCCAGCUUCGGGGCUCUCAGGAGAGAUAACACCCCUACUGCUGCUCUGUGUUGUUAUAGAAUCUAGCUCGAGCGUGCGAGCAUAUGGUGGUGCUGUGGGUGUCGAAUGAACCGAACCCCUUCUAUGUGCGCAUGGGCCUCCCUUUUAUAGUCCGAAGGGGGUACCCACAGGUGGCAGCGUAGGAAGAGGGGGUAGAAACGUAAAAGCGCAGGUUGGUACAACAGUGCACAACAGUGCCCCUACCUAACUCUGACGGCAGUGGACAAGGGCAUUAAAUGCCCGUCCGGUCGCCCAACAGUGCAAGUGGAGUGACCGUUAAGUGAGCCUCCGGGUGCCACGAUGGUGCUUAUGUCGGCUCCGUUUGCCACCUCGCUCUGCAUGGUUGCGUAGCAUCUCGCCACGUGCUCUUGGGAUGGCCUGGUGAUGACGCGUCACUGGGUGCGCAGGAGUUGGGUGGCAGCCUCGCCGCGGCAAGUGCCUUGCCGCGGUCCUUUUGUUGUGCUGGCAAGCUUGCCGGCCACUGGACCUUGCCGGGGCGCGCGGGGCGCCGCGGCAAGUUUUCUGGUGAUGCCAUGGUUAGCCCUCCCGGCAAGCUCUUCUUGCCGGGGCCUUCGUGUUCUUGGCUGGUACUUUGUUCUUGAAUGGCAGUGAUAAGGAGUGGUGGGGAGCCUUGCCGGACGUCAGGCGAGCCUCGCCGCGGGGUGCUGCGACUGCCCGUGCACAAGUUCGGGGUACUAAGGUGCCCCCCUACUUUAGUACACCGACAGAGAGAGAGAGAGAGAGAGAGAGAGAGAGACAGAGAGAGAGAGAGAGAGAGAGGACAGAGAGAUGGGCCAGCCGUCGUCGUUGGCAUUUUGUUAGGGCACAGUUCUUUGUCAUCUGCUAGCAUACGGCAAAGAGCGUAGCUAACGGACGUUAUUUUGGCCACUUUCUUUGUGGUCUGCAAAGAGCAUGCUUCGGGAAUCACAAACCCCAACACAAGUAUUUCUUCCAAUCCACAAUUACUCACUAGCAUGACUCUAAUAUCUCCAUCUUUACAUCGCAAAACUAUUGUAAGGAAACAAACAUAUCAUAUUCAGUGAUCUACAAGUUUUAUGUAGGAUUUUAUGACUAACCAUGUGAAUGACCAAUUACUAUCAACUCUAAAUAGAUAUAGGCGAAGCAAGAGAGUUUAAUUCUUUUUACAAAAGAUAUGCCCUUCCUCUAACAAAUAUAAGUGAAGUAAAAGAGCAUUCUACAAAUGGAGGUUUUCUAUGUGUAAAGAAAUAGGCAAUCCAAACUUCAAAUGAUAUAAGUGAAGCACAUGAAGCAUUCUAUAAAGCCAUCACUAUAAAAAAAGACACAUCCGUGACAUUUUGGGCCGAACAAAUUUUUUUCUGUCAUACUUAUGACACUUCUAUGACGAUAAUUGUGACAAAACCCGGUAACAUCAUAGAUGUGCUGGGCUCCUACUUCUAUGACAAAAAAUCAUGACAGAAAAUGGGCUUUUCGUCUUGGGCGGGCUGGAGACGUAGCUGCAUGACAUUCUUUGGGCCGUCCAUGACGGAAAGAACCAUGGUAGAAGCAAGGGCGAGGAAAAUUUCGGGGAGUUCCCGGUUACGGUGGGUGGCUGGGGGCCGAGCGAUGCGCGUUUCUCUUGUACACGUAUGCGUGUGUGUGCGAGGCGUUGGGCUCUAACGGAACCCGAGCGAGGCAUUGGGCUCUAACUGGACCCGAGCGAUCGCACUAGCCACAUUACUGCACCCGAGUGAUUCCUUCGCUACUGCUGCUAACUGAAGCCGAUCAAACUCUGCUGCCUCCGUCCCUUGAUGAACAGUGAGCGUUGUUGGGGGGGGAGUUGGAUGAACAGUUCCCGGUGGGGGUUGGAUGAACAGGACCCCGUGGUGUUGCUGCUGGAUGAACAGGACCCCGAUCGAUCGAGCGGGUUGGGCGUGGAUGAACAAGACCCCGUGGAGGGUUGGAUGAACAAGACCCCGUGGAGGGAAGGUUGAACAGUAGCCGGUCUAUGGCUGGUUGAAUAGUAGCCGGCGGAGGGCCAUAUGAACGUAGCCCGUGGAGGGGUGGUUGAGCAGGACCCCGUGGAGAGGGCUGGUUGAACAGUAGCCAAUGGAGGAGCGCGCGGUGGAGGCCGGAUGAACAGGAGCCCGUGGAUGAACAGUCGCGGGUGGAGGCUGGAGGAGGUCGAUGGUGGAUGAACAGUAGCCCGUGGAGGCUGGAGGAGGUCGACGGUGGACAUGAACAGUAUCCCGUGGAGUCCAGCUUUGCGGUAUGCCACACCCCUCCCGAUGAACAUGACCAUCGUUUCGACCGUAGUGCUCAAACACAAGUCCGUUUCCUCCGUUUUGCGGUACGCCACACCCCUCCCGAUCAACAGGACCCCAUUUCGACCGUAGAAGGUCCAACAGAAGUCCAUUUCCUCUGUUUUGCGGUACGCCAGACCCGUCCCAAUGAAUAGGAUCCCAUUUCGACCGUGGCCGGUCGAACACAAGGUCGUUUCCUCCAUUCUGCGGUACGGCAGGCCUCGUUUCCAUCGGCUGUUCCAUCCAAGCCGGUUGGAUCCCACACGUUCUGUUGCCUCCCGAUGAACACGACGCGUUCCGUUGCCUCCCCAUGAACACAACGACGAUGCAGUUUCUUUGUUUCAACCCAGCCAUGUAUACGAGCCCUGGCCAUACGUACGCGCGAGUAGGAGUUCGAGACCCCGCCCAUAUGUACGUACGUGGCCAUAUUUACUUUCUUGCACCCUGGCCGCUGUACGUAUGUGUACAUGCUACGCGCGUGCCUAUACUACGACACGUGUGCGUCUACAUUGACCAGUAUGUACAUACACGUUCGCAACCAGAAUGACAACGCUACGUACGCUUCGACCAGGUGGGUCCCGACUGUUAGGCACUUCCUUGUGUGCGAAGAUGUAGUUGGUGGGUCCCAGUAGUCAGGGGGGCGAAUCAUUUUUUUGCUCGUAAUAUGGACGCACUUCCUUGCGGGCAAAGAUGUAGCUGGUGGGUCCCAGCAAUCAGGGGGAAACAUUUUUUGCAAAAUACAGUGGCUCGUCUGGUGGGUCCCUGCUGUUAGGUGGAGGAAUAAUUAUUUUGCGCGUAAUAAGGAGGCACUUCCUUGCGGCCGCCAUGGACACAGCUGUCAGCCUCUCCACGUACAGUACUCUUCCAAUGGAAGUCGUUCCUUGACCACGCUGACCACGCCGUGCCGAGAGCACCAGGGGAGUGGACGACGGCAAGGCCAAGGAAGGGGACGACGCGGAGCCGGGGAAGACGCGGCACUGGAAGCCCGCGCGGAGAGGAGUACGAGGGUUCACUAGUUCGGCUACCGUCGCCGCAGGGCCUGGCUAGCAGUGGGAAUAGUAGGGGGAGGUGAGGCCUCCGCGGCAGCACAGCCGGCCAUGGGAGGCAGGAGCAUGCGGCAUGACCGGCGCUGCUUUGGGCAGCUGGAGCAAGAAGACCAGAGGUUGAAGAAGCACUACGGCCAUUGGAUGGACAUCGUACGGUCACUGGAGAUAGAAUCAUUCAUAUUGACUAAGUUGACAAAGCCCUCUGUCCCCGUCAACUUAGUAGGCCCACAAGUCAGCCUCCCAUGAAGGUGGGUCCCAGCUAGCAGGGGGAGUAUUCAUUUUUUUAUGCCUAAUAAGGAGGCACUUCCUUGCAUCCGAAGAUAUAGCUGGUGGGUCCGACUGACAGCGGGGGAACGUUUUGUUUAAGAAAUACAGAGGCCCUUCCGGUGGGUCCCAGCUGUCAGGUGGAGGGAUCAUUAUUUUGCGCAUAAUAAGGAGGCAUUUCCUUGUGUGGGCCCCUACUGUCAGCCUCUUUCGAUGGCUGUUGUUUGUUGACCAUGCUGACCUCGCCGCGUCGAGAGCACAAAUGUGGUGGACGAGGGCGAGGCCCAGGAAGGGAACCACCCGGAGCCGACGAAGCCACCGCAUGUCGGUGUACAAAAGUAGGGGAUCUCCUUUUGACACCUUUACUUGUGCAUGGGCAGUCGGAGCCACGCGCCAUGGCCGCACAUAGCAGGGCAAAGGAGGGGAGCUGGAGAGAAGCCAAGGGCACAAGACAAACAAGGCAACAUCAUGGACCAAGGCCACAAAGUGCAGAUGGACGAGGCAGGUUUCCCCGGCAAGACCCUUGCCAGGGCAGCCUCAGCAGCCCCGGCAAGGCCCUUGCUGGGGCGGCUCGCCCACACCAGCGGAGUGAGCCACCCCCGAACCCACGGUCUCCAACACCAUCAACUACAUUGGACCAGGGCUCAGGAGGCACCUCCAUGGUGGCAUGCAGAUCUUUGUGAAGACAAAGUAUAUUCAAGGUCAGAUGAGGAUUGGAAGGCAACAAUCCUCAUCAAGAUUCUUGCCAAAGAAACCCACUGGACCCCCGGCAAGAUCCUUGCCGGGGACAACAGCGCGCCAUGGCAAGACCCUUGCCGGGCCACCCGGCAAGACCCUUGCCAAAAGGCGUCAGCGGGGCCACAGCCAGGCCCGCACCAACCAAGUCUCCACCGCCGUUCACAUGCGGCUACCGGCCCAACCAGUUGGGCAGGCACCUGCGUGGCAACAUGCAGCUCCCAGGCCAACUCAGCACACACCUGCGUGGCGGCAUGCAGAUCUUCGUGGAGGCUCCACCACCGCGCCACCUCAGCUGCUUGCCUGCCUACAUGGCGCCGCAUGCAUCGCUGGCCAGGGCGCGUGUCGAAGCAAGGAGGAGCGGCAACGGACGGGACGGGCCUCGCCCCCGUCCCUAAUAAAGUGAGGGGACACCUAAGCUACACAUUAAAUGCAUCUUGUCCUGUAAUACGAGCGAUAAGCUCGUAGCACUGUAGGCCUUUCCACCUCCUUUGUGCCACUGUGGUAGCCCCUUUCGCCUAUAAAAGGAGGCCCAUGGCAUACUAGAGAAGGAUUUGGCUCUUUCGAACCACGUAGCUACCAUAGCUAGUUCAAGGGCUCAAGAACGCUCAAUACAUCCAUCAAAGCAGGACUAGGGUUUUACGCAUCCUCGCGGCCCGAACCUGGGUAAACGAUCCUUGUGCUGGUUACUAAUCCUGCUCUUCUCACAACCCCGCGCCCCGCAACCGUUGUAGGGAUACUUGUGAUCCCGUAGGUGUCGUUUCCCACCGACAUCCUUGGUGCUCCAGGUAGUGGGCACAAUUGUGAGAAUCUGGUCUAGUAGUUGGCCUAGCAGUUCUUCAUUGCCAUGGCUCCUAAGAAGAAGAAGACCACGGCGAUCGGUUUGUCCGGGACCGGACUACCAGUACUGGUGUGGACCAGUAGCUUGCCAGUCGCGGAGAGAACCCGUGGCGCAGCACGCGAACAUCCACAUCACCCCGGUGGUCUAGGCCUGGUGAGCGGCGUCAUUUGUACGCCAGGCGACUGGCCAUGCGUCGCGGGCUCCAGAGAUGGAGUCGGGCCCCCCGCAGGUGGCGCGGGGCCCUCCAGGGGUGCCAUCAUGCCGCCAGAUGGCGGCGUGGCGACCUCCAAGACACCAACACCGUCUCCCAUGGUGCGCUCUUCUCAGGUCGUGCGCGAUGAGCAGCGCCGCCCUGCUGGUGACCCUGAGCACCGCCCUAGGAAGAGUCCCAUGCGCCCUUCACAGGAUGAGGAGGGCAGCAUGCCCGCCAAGGUGCUGGCGGAGGUGGCGAACGACUGCGGGUCCAUGAUGGGGCUCCUUAUGACGUGGUUAGAAGUCGAGGCGCAUCGCGGUCCACACAUCUUUCGCCGUCGCCCACGCUAGCAGAAGCCCUAGCACGCGCGCAGCUGCUCCUCGACUUUCCUCCCGCUGCGGAGAAGCUUGAUGAAUGGAGGGCCACCGUCCGGAGCCCGGCAUCACUAACAACAAUGAGUUGCGGCCGGCGGGACCCGUAGGCCGACACUCCGUCGAGCCACUGCAUGCCAGCGGAGGUCGCGCCGGAGGCGAUGCGGCCACGGUGCACUCCCCUCCUCCAUAUCGGCCACUGAGGGUGUCGGUCCGUCGGGACGACGCUCGUGAUGAUAUCUUCAUAGCGUCGUCUGACCCGCGAACCCACCGAUGGCCUCGAGGAAGCUGCGUCAUUACUUCCAAGCGCACGAGAUCACUGUGGUCACCCGCCUCCCAUUGCAAUGGAUACUGCAUAACCCAGAUGCGACAGGGAGGAUCGUGGAAUGGGCCCUGGAGCUGUCGAGUUUCGGUUUAAAGUUCGAAAGCACCUCGACGAUUCAGAGCAAAGUUUUGGCGGAGUUCAUUGCAGAAUGGACCUCGACGCCCGAGGAAGAGGUACAUGAGACCGCUCUCCCCGGCAAGGAAACAAGCCGCAAAUGGAUCAUGUACUUUGAUGGGGCUUUUUUGCUACAAGGCGCCGGCGCUGGUGUGCUGCUUGUCGCACCCACCGGAGAGCACCUCAAGUAUUUCAUCCAAAUGCACUUUCCCUGGGAGAUGUCAACUAAGAACACCGCUGAGUACGAGGGAUUGCUUGCCGGUCUUAGGAUCGCGGCGGACCUCGGAGUCAAAAAGCUCAUCGUCAGGGGUGAUUCGCAGCUUGUCGUCAGGCAGAUAAACAAAGAUUAUCAGAGCUCACUGAUGGAAGCUUAAGUGGAUGAGGUAAGGAAACUGGAGGAGCGCUUUGAUGGUGUACAAGCAGAGCAUGUCCCUCGGACGGAAAAUGACGUCGCCGACCACCUGUCAAAGCGCGAUGCCCUCAACCAACCUAUGGAACCAGGUACUUUUGUGCUUCAGUUAACUCAACCAUCCAUCGAACCAUCAGCCGGGCAGAACAAGCGGAGGAAGGUAGGCCCCGACAAGUAAUUCCCCACCGAGCUCCCCGGAGCCGCUGGCAAAGAUGUUGCCGUGGAUGCCGAUCCUGCCGCGGGGCAACCAACUCCGGUAGGGCCUCAGGCCAUAGCCGCGGAGACGGCCGCUCCCGUGGCAGAAGAGAUGCCUUUGGUCCUUGUCGUCGAGCCACGGGCUCCGGCAUGGGCACAUCACACCGUCCGAUUCCUCGAAAAAGGAGAACUUCCUAAGGAGCAGGAAUAAGCAGAGAGAGUAGCCCGCCGGUCUGCUCUGUACCAAUUCGUUCACAACGUCUUGUAUAGAAAAAGACCAAAUGGGGUGAAAUUGAAGUGCAUCUCCCGGGAGGAAGGACUAGAGCUGUUGGCAGAGAUACAUUGAGGCAUAUGUGGCUCCCACAUAGGGUCGAGGGCCCUUGUCGGCAAGGCUUUCCAGCAAGGUUUCUUCUAGCCCACCGCCCUCCAGGAUGUGACGACACUAGUAACCAAGUGUGAAGCGUGCCAGUUCCAUUCAAAGAAGCUUCAUCAACCAGCUCAAGCCCUUCAAACCAUCCCUCUCUCCUGGCCCUUCUCGGUCUGGGGGCUCAACAUAUUAGGCCCUUUCCCUCAUGCCGUCGGGGGCUUUGAGUAAUUGUACGUUGCAAUUGACAAGUUCACAAAGUGGCCAGAGGUGGAAGCAGUGAGGAAGGUGACAGCGCAGUCAGCCAUCAAGUUCUUCAAGGGACUAGUUUGCCGUUUUGGGGUACCCAACAGGAUCAUCACCGACAACGACACACAGUUCACAAGACAUGCCUUCAUGCAAUACAUUGAGGAUCUUAGCAGCAAGGUCUGUUUUGCUUCCAUGGCAAACCCACGGAGCAACGGCCAAGCGGAGAGAGCAAAUCCUGAAGUUCUAUGAAGCUUAAGAGAGAAGACUUUUGAUAGGCUGCGCAAGAGUGGAAGGCGCUGGAUUGACAAGUUGUCGGCGGUUCUUUGGUCGAUUAGAAUGACGCCAAAUCGAGCCACCGACUAGACACCCUUUGUCCUGGUCUAUGGGGCAGAAGCAGUUCUCCCCACGGAACUCAUAUACGGGUCACCUCGAGUGCUCGCUUAUGAUGAGAUUGAGCAAGAGCGAUUGCGGCAAGAUGACGCAACGCUCCUUGAGGAAGAUCGUCUUCAGGCGGCUGUGAGAGCAACACACUACUAGCAAGCCUUGCACCGCUACCAUAGCCGCAAGGUUCAUUCCCGGAGCUUUGAGGAAGGCGACCUUGUUCUUCGGCACGUUCAGUCGGCCAAGAAUUCCAACAAGUUGACGCCGAAGUGGGAAGGCCCUUAUCGGGUAACACGAGUCACCAAGCCAGGCGCAGUUCGCCUGGAGACCGAAGAUGCCAUUCCAGUGAGCAACUCCAGGAACAUCGAGCAUCUUUGCAAGUUUUACCCAUAAGGUGCGGCUGCCGGGCCUCCCGGCAAGCCACCUUUUGUACAAGCCUUGCCGAUAAGGCAUGUAACCCUUUUACAAAGCCAGGCGCAGACUCUGAGCAUAAAUAAACGAAGCGCUAGCGCCCUAAGUUAUAGCAUGCAUGAUAGGUAGAGUCUCCUCCUUGGUUAGGGUUGAUAGUGCUUAGCGGCGGCUAACCCCUAGCUUAGAGGUUGAGUGCGUGUCUCUCUGUUCUUUUCUGUCCUCUUUGGUUCGUAGGGCACAUAAGCACUUCUGCCGAGCUGUUUGGAAGAAAGGGAAUGGACCGGCGUCCUGACCCCGGCAAACCAAAGUUGCCGGGGGCUACGAGUACAAGGAUCCACCCAUGGCAAGACAAGGUUGUCGGGGGCUGCAGAUCCAGAUAAGUCUUUUAUCCUCUAUCAUGCAUUUCAUUAUGGACUGGGAUGUGUGAAACCUCAUUUUAUUUCUAGGCUACUGUGCUCCCCUUUUCUGUACCCAAGGAUUAUCUCCUGGGUCCGAAUUUGGUUGUAGUCGCGGCAGCAAGGAAAUGGAACGAGCAGCCUAAGCCCACUUCAUCCCUACCUCCGCCAAGGGCGUGAGAAAGAUCGAGCAAAGUGGGGGACGGCAAGGCCUGUUGCCGGGCGAAAAACGUUUAUCUUAAAUAAUAACAAGGAUUCGCUCCUUGUUGCGGGGUUCACCCACGAACGAAAAACCCGGCAAACAUCCCUUUUUCAUUAAAAACAUCCCAUACAGGUACAGUUCAUAUGGAAUGAAAAACAUGAGCAAGGGAUUACAAGUUCUAAAUUUAACAAAGGCCCGAAGGCUUACAAACUGAAAAGAGAUAAGGUGCCCGUAAUCCCUUUCUUGUCCCUCUCCUCAGGAGGCAGGUCAAGGAAGCAAAAGGGGGCAAAAGGGGCGCCUAGGCGAGCUACGAGCGGCAAAAAGCACCAAGAGAACAUCUCGGUGGCCGUCCAAAGGCUGGCUGGUGAUGACGGCGCCGGCGGAAGAGCUCAAAGAUGAGGCAGCAGGAUGCCAACACGCGACGAAGGCGUUGGUGCCUGCGUACUCCGACUUGACGGCCUUGCCGCCCGCCCUCUUCCUCUUCUGCAGCCUCUCAGCGCCAGCCGCCCAAGGAGACGACCCCGAGAAGUUCAAGGAGCCGGCAACACGAAUGAUGGGGUCACCGGUGUCGCCCGGAGCGGCGCCCGAUGCUUAGUAGGACCUGUCAUCCUGCCGCCCGCUACCCUCGUCAUCGCUGCCGCUGUCCUCCUCGCCACUCUCGCUCCUGGAGGAAUCUUCAUCGUUAGAGGAGCUCUCUAGGCAGCACCAUACGCGAGUCCCGAAGUGCCCAAAGACCUUGACGGAGAGGAGGCCGCUCUCCAUUAGUUUGAAAUGGAGAGUGAGCCCCUCCGUCAGGCUAUGGACACGGGCAAAAGUCUUCCACCCUCGAAGAAGAUACAUGACGUGCGGGGCGGGGAACUCGACAUCGGCCCAUGUGCCGCUGUUCCCACAACCCCUCAUAUGGAGCAGCAAUGCCUGCGGCGGAUCCAGCUCCAUCUCCCAUGCAAAUGGAGUCGGGAGGUGAAGACGGCGGCACGGCGGCUGGCACAGCCUGAUGAAGAACUCGUAAGGGUUGUCCCCCACGUGGCCCUCCACCGGGGGAGGGGCCGCUGGCGGAGGAGAGGCCGAUCUACCUGUCGUGGGGAACGAACACCUAUGGGGCAGGGCCCCUUCUCGGUCCGGCAGGGAGCGGAGGGCGCACGAAGAGCAGAUUGAGGCAAGGCAAGCGAGGGAUUUUACCCAGCUUCGGAGCUCUUCGGAGAGAUAAAACUCCUACUGCUGCUCGGUGUUUGUAUUGUGUUCUUGCUCGAGGGCGUGAGCGUGCUGUAGUUUCAAAUGAGUCGAACCCCUUCUGCGUUGCGCAUGGGCCUCCUUUUAUAGGCUAAAGGGGUCACCGACAGGUGGCAACGCAGGCAAGGGUACAAAUGUAAAAAGAGUGGUUGGUACAACUGCUGCUACAGCGUAUCCUACCUAACUCUGACGGCAGGGGACAAGGGCAUUUAAUGCCCGUCCGGUCGCCCAAACAGUGCAGAAAAUGACCGUUUGGGGCGCCACCGAUUGCCACGAUGGCCUUCUCGUCAUCUCCACUCGCCACCUCGCACCGCUUGGCUGCACAGCUUCCCGCCACGUGCUCCUGGAACGGUCCUGCGGCGACACGUCGACGGAUGUGCUGGAGCAUAGGCACAGAGUGGUGGCUUCGCCGUGGCAAGCGCCUUGCCGCGGUCGUUGUCUUGUCGCGUCCGGAAGCUUGUCGCUCGCCGGGUCUUGUCGGGACGCGCGGCGCGUCGCGGCAAGUUCCUUGGUUUGCCUUCCCGGCAAGCUCCUCUUGCCAGGGCCUUGUCCUUCCCGGCAAGCUCCUCUUGCUGGGGUCUUGUCUUCUCAGUUAAAACACUUUGUUCUUGAAUGGCAUCAAUGAGAGCUAUGGAGGAUCUUGGCGGACGUCCGGCAAGCCUUGCCGCGGGGCGCUGCGACUGCCCGUGCACAAGUUCGGGAUACUAAGGUACCCCUACUUUAGUACACCGACAGGAGCCCCCAGGCCUGGGCCACACAUGGUGCCGAGCGCUGUUGGGCCAGGCCCAAAACAGGGCACGGGCACAUGCGGCCUGGGUCCACACCAAAUCUAACUCCGCAUCCACCGCGCCCUCCCGUAAUGGCACGCGUCGAAUGCGGCGUCGUGGGAGAGAUCGUGGGUGAUUCUUUAAUCGAAAAAGGCGUAACAUUCGCCUCUCCUCUUUAUAAGCAGGGGAAACAGGGGCUGUUCCCCCACCUUCGCCACUUGCGGUUUCUUCCUCAGAAAGCUCCGCCGCGCCCCUCCGCUUCCCAAGCCGAAAGAAAGCAGCGCUCCGCCGCCCGUCGCCGCCGCCCGUUGCCGCUGCUCUCCUCCACCGCUUCCGCCAUGGCUCCGAAGACCGGAAAGAGUGCGAAGUCGCCCAAGGCGCUGCGGCUCGAGGCGCUGCGCAAGGAGCGAGCACUUUUCCCCCCCGAGCUCACCCCAAAGGCGCUGCAGGAGGAGUUCUAUCUCUUCUGGUCGACAGAGACGCGGGCGCAUCCGCGCACGUCGGUACUCUCCGCCGAAGCUUCUACUUCCAAGCGGUGCCCAAAAGGGUACUACUUCUUCCCAUUGUUCUUCUACUGCGGGCUCUGCCCGCCCUUUUCCGAUUUCUUCUGCGACAUUAUGAACACAUACGGACUCCAUCUCCUUGACUUCACCCCCAACGCCGUUCUGACAAUGGCGGUUUUCGCGCAUCUUUGCGAGAACUUCGUCGGAAUCCACCCCAACGUUGCCCUUUUCCGCCACUAUUUCAUCCCCCGGGUCGAGAAAGGAGAGCCCUUGUCUGGGGGGAUUGCCUGGAUCUCGAGGGUCAGCAAGAAGGAGGUCUAUCUGGAGGGGGAGCUCCGUAGCAAAUGGGAUGAGUGGAGGGUUGAAUGGUGUUGGAUUGUCGACGCAGAUCCGUAGCCAUUCACCAAUUUGCGCCAAACCCGAGUAGUGCGCGGCGGCGACUGGAGUGCUCUGGGGGCGGACGAUGCCAAGCUGAAGAUCGCCACCACCCGGAUCCUGCGGCUCAGGCUUGCCGGGCUCACUGUAGGGGCCAUUGGCGCGGACUUUCUUCGCCGCCGCAUCACCCCCCUGCAGGAGAGGGGGAGGCCUGCCUGGCUGUUUGGCGGCCCGGCGGAUAUUAUGAGGCUGCGCCCAGGCCUCAAUUUCAAUUUCACUAUCUUGGAGUUGGAUGGGAUGCUCAAGGAACUGUUCAAGCACGACGCCAACCAUCUGGAGUGGUUCAGGCUGCCGCAGGGCGUCAUCCCGCUGUGUAACAACUCCCAGCUUGAUCGCAUCCGCGCAAUGAUGCCGGAGUGCGACUCGCACGGGAUUAUCCCAACUUGGCGGGAGCCCUCCGACGACAUCGUGUGGCAAUUCUUCGACGGCUUGGUGGAGGUAGCAGUCCGUGCCGACGAGCAGAGGCUCCUCACCCGCGACACCACCAAUGACGAGAUGCGGUACAUUGCCACCUGGGCUGAAGAGGCGGCGGCGGCCGCCGCCGCGGGCGAGUUCGGUUUCACGUUGGAGGAGGCAGAGGCGGCCGAGGCGGCAAGCCUCGCCGGCCGAGAGGACCUUGUCGGGGAGGUCGCUGGCGAAGGAGAGCCCGAAGCUGAAGCGAGCGAGCCUGCCGAGGGCGCAAGCGGCCAGCCGUCUUCGAGCUGCUUGCCGCGGGCGGAGCCCCCAGCGCAGCCCCCAGCCCAACAAAGAAGGCGCCUCCGUAGGACUGGAGAUACAGCAGGGCGGCAGGUAGGCCAACAGCCGCAGCACCGUGGGACACGCUCCACCGCGGCAAGCCCGUUGCCGCGGGAGCAUCUCAGGCCGUGCCGGCAACUGGGGCGGGGUCUUCCCGAGCCACCACACCUGAUCCUGCCGCAGCUCCCGCCAAGCGUCCAAGGGAGCCCACUCCUCUGCCUCGUCACGCUGAAAGAGUACCGGACUUCGACCUCUCCGCACUGAGCUCCGACGAGGAGGAAGAAGAGGAGGAGGAGUAAGACAUUCUCCUUGUUGUAUUUGUAUUUCUUCGAUCUUUGUUGUUUCUUUCCUUGUAUCUGAUCUGCUUCCCUAUGAACCUCGUUCCAUUUCAGGACACUGGCUGAGAGAGCAGCGAAGAGGGCCAAGGUCCCCGUGGUUAUCGUCGAGGACAAUCCUGCUGUGAUGGUAGAGGACGCGUCCGAGACCACCUUGACGGACCCAGAAACAUCUCCUCGAAGCAGCCCCCAGCGCAGCCCCCAGCGUAAGUAUUUGUUCACUUCCCGUUGUGGGGCGCGCAUGGGUGCUCUUUCUUUGCUGAUAUCUUGAUUGUUGUCUUGCUUGUGUAGGAGCAGAACAGGCCCAUCAGGACCAACCAGAAGCCGCUCUGGAGGUGCAAUCUGCUUCAAGCACACCGCCAAGGGGCGGUUCUCCGGCAAGGGAGCGCUCUCCGGCAAGGGGGCGGUCCCCGGCAAGGGGCAGUUCCCCGGCGAGGGUCGGGACCAGCGAUCCUUCGGUGGUGGAGCCCAUGAUCACAGAGCCCAGCAUAGGUAACCCUCCUUGUCGGAAAUUUUCCCUUGGGCUUUUCUUCUUCUGAUCUUCUUUUUGGAUAUUUGCUUGACUUUUUCUUCCUCUCCCUGUCUUCGGAUCCCCCUUCCACAGAUCCGAUGGAGACUGGGGCCACCGGCGAGGAGGAUACACGCGGCAACACUGAUGAUGCCGCCGCCACCAAGGAAGAGGCCGGCGCUGACGAUCCCGCCGGCGAAGAGGCCGCCAAGGCUGCUGGUGCAGGAGCUGGCGAGGGGUCCGGCGAUCGCACUGAUGACCCGGAGGGCGCAGGAGCGCAAGGCGCUACACCGACCGCCGACCCCUCCGCCGCUGAUGCCAACCGGGCUCCGAAGAGCCUCAGCCCGGCGCCUACUUGAAGGCCGACGAGGGUGUCUUCAUCAGGCUUCCCUGGGCGUCGAGCUCUAGGGCGCCGGUCGAAGGAGAGGAAUUUGACGGAGAAGUACUCACCUCUGCUGGGUUGACAGUGGUUGACGCGCCAAGCAGCAGCAGCGGCGAGUCCGAAGAGGAGCAGCUGCUCUGGAAGUUGGUGUCGCUCUACCGCGCCCGACAAGCGAAACUGGAGUCCCGGGAAGUGCUUGUCGCGCAGGCGGGAGUUGACAUAGAGAAGCAUGCGGAGGAGCUCCAGAGCCGCAACCAAGAGGCCCUCCGGUCCAUUGCGGAGGAGAGGGCACAGCUUGUCGAGGCGCAGAAGGCCUUCCUCCUCAAGAAGGCAGAAGCUGAGGAGCAACAGAGGCUUGCCGCUGAAGAGAUGUCUACCCGGGAAGGUGAACCGACACAGCGGAAAGUCAAUCUGGAUAGUUACGAGGAGGAGCUCGACGCAUGCGAGCAAUCACUUGGCGGGGCGCUCAAGGAGGAGAAGGAUACUGCCGCAGCCGCCGAGGCCGCCAAGAAGGAAUUGGAGAUGAAGGUGACGCAGCUGGAGGCUGAUUUGAAAGGGAAGGAUGAGGAGCUUGCCGCGCUCCAGCGCGAACGCGAAAAGGAUGCCCUCGCUCAUGGCGAUCUGCAAGUUCAACUCGCCGAUAAGGUCAAGGAACUGAACGCCGCCAAGGACUCAAACGCCGAUCUGGAGCUGAAGCUAGUCAUGCUGACUAAGACGCUGGACGGCACCAAGAAGCGAGAGGAUGACUUGAAGAAAGAGAUCAAGGACAAUGAGGAGCUGCUGACGAGGGCCGCCGAGACUCAAAACACCUUCAGGGCUACGGUGGAGCUCUGGACGGAGGGCCUCGUCAACAUUGCUGCAACCAUCGACGAGGAGCUGGUGCAACUGGACUUGGCGGGCUUCGGGUACUCCUCCGACGAGAACCUCCAGCCCAGCGCCAAGCUUACUCUGUUCUUCAAGGGCGUGGUGACGGCUCUCCAGCAGCUCCGGGAAAGGAUCCCAAAGCAGCUGGCUGACGAGUCACGCGCAAUCUGCGCCAGAGUCUUGGAGAAGGUGUUGGUGAAGGUGCUCUUCCGCAAUCCGAACCUCAACCUCACCAACGUUCUCAAGAAGCUGCCGGCGGGUGCUGAUCUUGCAGAGCUCAAAGCCCUUGUCGCACCCAUUGUGGACAAGGUGAACGAAGUCAAGAGGGUUGACGGCGACCGCGUAGAUUAGGCCGCGUGUUCUCUCCUUUUUCUUGCCGCUGUUAGACAUGUCACGGGAACAACCCAUUAGAGCGCGGCAAGUUAUUAUUGUAAUAUAACUUUAUUCUGUGUAGUAUUUGCUAUGUUAUUUCCUUUACUUGAUUCCCUCCUUUGCAUGUUUCUAGCCUACGCUUUUAGGGAACUUGCCGGCGCAGGCACCCUUGCCGCGAGCGCUGAGUGUGGAACAUCAGCAGCCUGCUGGCGGUGUUGCCUCCGGCAAGAAACCUUGUCGGAACUAGUCGCAACACACUCACGUUGUUGAGCGGACUCGAAACAAGGCAAGGGCGCAACUAGCUACGAGUUGGUUCCUCCGCGCACAGGUUUUCCAUACAAAGCACGGUCGUUCAAGGAAAAUAACUUAAAAAAUUUAAAACUGAUUGUGCUCAAACUUUGGCAACUUAGCUUUUCCGUCGUCUGCGUUCCGGCAAGGCUAUACUUCUUUGAACGACGCCUGGUCCACACCAUUAUCUUCUCCUUCCCCCCCGGUGAACUUGUGGGCGAAGGAACCUUCUUUUUAAGAAAAAGAAAGACAAGAAAUUAAAGAUAUGGAGCCUUAAGGCUCGUUAUUGCUUACCGGGGGCAAGAGCUGCACAAAGUGUCAGACAAUACAUGCAAAAGAAAGAAAGCAUGAAAUUUGACAACAUUUGCAGAGCAUAUGAUCUUUAUUUAUGCGCGGGGUCUGUGCCCGGCUUUGUACAAAGUGUUACAUGCAACAGCGGCAGGGCUUGUACAAAAGGUGGUUGCCGGGACAGCAGGUUCCGGCAACCGCGCCUUAGGGGUCAAACUUACGAAGAUGCUCUAUGUUCUAGGAGUUGCUCACCGGAAAGCCAUCUUCGGUCUCAAGGCGGACAGUGCCAGGCCUAGUGACUCAUUUCACCCGAUAAGGGCCUUCCCACUUCGGCGUCAACUUGUUGGAAUUCUUGGCGGAUUGAACGCGCCGAAGAACAAGGUCGCCUUCCUCGAAACUUCUGGCAUUGACUUUGCGGCUGUGGUAGCGACGCAAAGCUUGCUGGUAGCGAGCAGCUCGUACAGCAGCCUAAAGACGAUCUUCCUCAAGGAGCAGCGCGUCAUCUUGCCGCAGCUGCUCUUGCUCAAGCUCAUCAUAAGCGAGCACUCGAGGCGAUCCGUAUACGAGUUCCGUGGGGAGAACUGCCUCUGCUCCGUAGACUAGAGCAAAAGGUGUCUGGCCAGUGGCUCGAUUUGGCGUCGUCCUGAUCGACCAAAGAACCACUGGCAGCUCCUCGAUCCAAUUUCUUCCGCACUUGUGCAGCCUGUCGAAAGUUCUGGUCUUGAGUCCGCGUAGCACUUCAGCGUUUGCCCUCUCCGCUUGACCAUUGCUUCUCGGGUGAGCAACAGAAGCGAAGCAGAUCUCGGUGCCAAGAUCUUGGACGUACUGCAUGAAGGUGCGGCUCGUGAAUUGUGUGCCAUUGUCGGUGAUGAUCAUGUUAGGGACUCCGAAACGACAAACAAUCGACUUGAAGAACUUGACUGCUGACUGUGCUGUCACCUUCCUCACUGCUUCCACUUCCGACCACUUUGUGAACUUGUCGAUUGCAAUGUACAAGUACUCAAAUCCCUCGACAGCUCGGGGAAAGGGGCCGAGGAUGUCGAGCCCCCAGACCGAAAAUGGCCAGGAUAAAGGGAUCGUCUGGAGAGCUUGAGCUGGUUGAUGUAUCUGCUUGGAGUGAAACUGGCACGCUUCACACUUCGUUACUUGUGCAGUUGCAUCCUGGAGGACUGUCGGCCAAAAGAAACCUUGCCGGAAGGCUUUGCCGGCAAGUGCUCUCGCGCCAAUGUGGUGACCACAUAUGCCUCCAUGUAUCUCCGCCAACAGCUCCUGUCCUUCUUCCCGGGAAAUGCACUUCAAUUUCACUCCGUUGAAUCUUCUUCUGUACAGUAUGUCAUCGACUAACUGGUACAUAAUUGAUUGCCGGGCUACUCUCUCCGCUUCUUCUUGCUCUUCGGGAAGUUCUCCUGUCUGAAGGAGACGGACGAUCUGCUGCGCCCAUGCUGGAGCUUGUGGCUCGACGACUAGGACUAAAGGCGCAAAUGCUGCUGCGGGAACAUCUGCUUCCACGGCAAGAACCUGAGGUUCAGCCGGAGCGUGAUGCUCCCCGGCAAGUGUGCCGGAGCACAACUUGUCGGGGGCGUCUGCUUCAACGAAACAAACCCUGGGGCUUGUCGGAGCAGACUGCCCCUCAGCACUUUCUGUGUUGAUUUUGGGGACCUUCUUGGUGGCGGCUUCGGGGAGCUCUGCCGGAAAGUAGUCACCAGAAACCAACUUCCUCUUCUUUCUCUGUCCAGUUGAUGGUGUUACAGAUGGUUGAGUUAGCUUGAGCACAAAUUCCUAGUUCCACAGGUAACUUGAGUGCGGCGCACUUUGACAGGUCGUCUGCAAUGUCGUUCUGAGCUCUCGGAACGUGUUCCAUCUGCAGGCCGUCAAAAUGCUCUUCCAACUUUCUCACUUCGUCAAUGUAAGCUUCCAUCAACGGACUCUUAUAAUCUUUGUUUACUUGGCGGACGACAAGUUGCGAGUCACCCCUGGCAAUGAGCUUCUUGAUCCCAAGGUCUACAGCGAUUCUGAGUCCGGCAAGCAAGCCUUCAUACUCUGCAGUAUUGUUUGUUGCUUGCUCCUUGGGAAAGUGCAUCUAGACCACGUACUUGAGGUGCUCUCCAGUGGGUGCGACAAGCAAUACGCCGGCACCAGCGCCUUGCAGCGAGAAGGCACCAUCAAAGUACAUGAUCCAUUCUUUGCUUGUCUCCUUGACGGGGAUGCUCGUCUCCGAAAUUUCUUCAUCAGGUGUUGGCGUCCAUUCUGCUAUAAAUUCUGCCAAUGCUCGGCUCUGAACAGUUGAAGUACUCUCAAACUUGAGGCCAAAGCUUGACAAUUCCAGUGCCCACUCGACGAUCCUGCCUGUUGCUUCCGGAUUCUGCAAUAUCCUCUUCAACGGAAAGCGAGUGACAACUGUGAUCUCAUGUGCUUGAAAGUAAUGGCGCAGCUUCCUUGAGGCCAUGAGAAGGCCGAAAAGCAACUUCUGCACACCAGAGUACCUUGACCUAGCCCCUGUAGAAGGGAACUGACAAAAUAAACUGGGCGCUGCACCAUCUUCUUUUGUUUCUCUUCCUCCGGCUGCACAGAUCUAUCCUUGUCGGGACCAGAGCUUGUCGGGGAAGCCCCCUGCUUGUCUCUGGAUUCACUUGCCGCAGCCGCUGGCUCAUCGUCCGCCUCUCUUUCCGCUAGUAACGCAGCACUAACCACUUGAUUGGUUGCCGCUAGAUAUAGCAGCAACUUCUCUUGUGGCUUAGGUGCGACAAGUAUUGGAGUGGAGGACAGGUAUCUCUUCAAGUCCUGCAGCGCAGCCUCCGCUUCCGGAGUCCAUUUCAUUGGACCUGCCUUUUUCAAAAUUUUGAAAAAUGGCAGGGCGCGCUCAGCAGACUUAGAGAUGAACCUGCUGAGAGCGGCAAUGCAGCCGGCAAGCCUUCGCACAUCCUUGACGCGCUUCGGUGCUUCGAUCUGCUCAAUGGCCUUGAUCUUGUCGGGAUUGGCUUCAAUCCCCCGCUGAGAUACAAAGAACCCGAGAAGCUUGCCGGAGGGGACUCCAAACACACACUUCUCGGGGUUCAACUUGAGAUUGAUCUUGCGCAGAUUUGCAAAGGUUUCGUCCAAGUCCUGGAUCAAAGUUGCUUUGUCCUUGCUCUUGACCACUAUGUCAUCCAUGUAAGCUUCUACAUUUCUGUGCAACUGUGGCUCAAAAGCAUGACCGACUACUCUUGCGAAUGUCGAACCAGCAUUCUUUAGUUCGAAAGGCAUCCGUACAAAGCAGUACAUGCCACAUGGAGUAAUGAAUGCGGUUUUCUCUUCUUCCUCUUCUGCCAUGAAGAUCUGAUGAUAUCCUGAGUAUGCAUCAAGAAAUGAAAGCAAAUCACAUCCUGACGUGGAGUCGACAAUCUGGUCAAUGGGCGGCAAGGGAAAUGGAUCCUUGGGAUAAGCUCUAUUAACAUCAGUAAAGUCAAUACAAAGCCUCCAUUUCCCGUUCGCCUUGCGCACGACUACAGGAUUGGCCAACCACGUAGGAUCGAGCACUCCUCUGACAAGGCCUGCUGCUUCCAACUUCUUGAUCUCUUCUGCAAAGAAUUCUUGACGCUCCAGUGCUUGUUUCCUGACUCUCUGCUUGAUGGGCCGCGCGUGAGGGCAGACGGCAAGGUGGUGCUCAAUUACUUGCCUGGGAACACUGGGGAUGUCGGAUGAUUGCCAUGCAAACACAUCGACAUUCGCCCGCUGGAAAGCAACGAGCGCGCUUUCCUAUUUAGGGUCAAGCGUGGCACUGAUGGUGAAGGUACCACCAGUGCCAUCCUCCUUGGCGGCCACUUUCUUAGUCUCUGGUGAAGUUGUCUUUGCCUUCUUGCACUUGCCGGUGGAGCUCGAUGGUGCGUCCUCGACGGUAGCGCAGCACUCCGAAGAGGUGCGCUUGCUGGAGUGGGCAUCAGAGCUACUCUUGCCGGACUUGGUCUUCUUCUUCCCUCCGGGAGCUUCAGCGGCAAGUGGUUUGCGUUCUGCUGCGGCUGCUGCUUCCCGGUAGAUCUUGUCGGUACAGAUAAGGGCAUCUUUCUUGUCGCCGGGGACAGAAAUGACACUUAUCGGACCGGGCAUCUUGAGCAUGUUGUAGGCGUAGUGAGAGGCUGCCAUGAACUUGGCGAGCGCUGGACGGCCGAGUAUCCCAUUGUAGGGCAAUGGGAAAUUAGCAACGUCAAAGGUGACUCUCUCUGUCCUGAAAUUCAGCUCGCUGCCAAAUGUCACUGGCAGUGUAAUCUUCCCCUUCGGCUUGCUCCUUCCCGGGUUGAUUCCUUGGAAAGUGCCGGUCUCUUCGAGCUCGCUGUCGGGGAUCUAGAGCUUCUUGAGUAUCACUGAGGAGAUCAGAUUCAGGCCGGCCCCACCGUCAACCAGCAUCUUUGUGACCUUGAGGUUGCGGAUAGUUGGCGAAACCAACAUCGGCAAGCACCCGACCGCAGUUAUGCGAUCAGGGUGAUCCUCAACAUCAAAGAUGAUGGGCGUGCUGGACCACUUCAGAGGCUUGCGCGACUCAACUGAUGGUUCUGCUGCAUUAACUUCACGCACCCACUGUUUGAGCUGGCGGUGCGAAGUAUGCAGAGAAGCACCGCCGUCGAUGCACAAAACUUCUGUUGCCUUCUGAAACUCCUGCUCGUCGGCCUCAUCCUCAUCCAUCUCUUCAUAUUCGUCUUCAUCUUCGUCCUUGUCGUGGCCGCGGGGAGGCCUGUCUCCUUGCCGCUGCUUGGCCUUGCCGUGGCGCCCUCCCCGGCCGGGACGCUUCUUGCCGGAUCCUCCGCCACCUUCCUGGGCCUUCUCCUUGUUGCGUCGCUCGUACUUAGCUUUCUGCAGUUCUACAAGCUGGUUAACUUUCUUGCAGGUCUGGAGAUCUUGGCCCUUGGUGCGGUGGAUCUUGCAGUACUGCUUGCCAGAGCCGUCCUGCUUGUCGGCGGCCACCAUAGCCUCGCCAGAGUCACCAGCUUUGGCCUUCUCGGUGCCACCUCCGUUGCCGGACUGCUCGACGACUAGCACAUCUUUUUCUUUCCUCUUUCUAUUGUUCCGCCGCCGGUUUUUCUUUGCCGGGGCGGCAUCCUCACUGUCAGACCCUUCUGCUCCUGCAUUCUCUCCGGGGAGUUUCCUCCCCUCUUCAGCGUGUGCACACUUGUCGGCCAGGGCAUAUAGCUCACUGACGUCUCUAAUCUUGCACAUCGCCAUCUCCUCCCUCAUCCUACGGUUUCGCACGUUCUGAUGGAACGCGCUGAUGACCGCGGCAGGGUGGACGUCUGGGAUGUUGCACUGCACUUGGCUGAAUCUCUGUAUGCACUUGCGCAGGGGUUCUCCUUCCUUCUGGGCGAGCAGAUGAAGAUCACUUUCCUGGCCAUGGGGCUUAUGGCCGCCUAUAAAGGCGCCGACAAACUAAUGGCACAGGUCCGCCCAUGAGGAGAUGGAGUCGUCCGGCAAGUGCAUGAGCCACGAUCUGACGUUGGGCUUGAGCACCAGCGGGAAGUAGUUGGCGAGGAUCUUCUCGUCGCGCCCCCGGCCGCCUGCACCACGAUGGUGUAGACGCUGAGGAACUCCGACAGAUGUACCCUGCCAUCGUACUUCUCGGGUACAUCUGGCUUGAAGUUCUUGGUACUGGGCCACUGGACUUGCCGCAGCUCACGAGUGAAUGCAGGGCAACCUACCGCGUACGGCAAGUCGCCUGGUUCCCCUGGCGCAUGCAUGUCGACAGUGGGCCCAGCGCGCUGCUUUGACUGACGCCGCGCUUCUCUUCGACGCUCGAUUCGAGUACGAGCGUCCUCUUGUCGUCGUUCUUGGAGAACUUGACGCUGAUCACGACGAACUCGUGGAUCCGACGACGCCGUGGAGUCGGUUUUGUGGUUGACCCGGCGAUUCGGCGAUCUUGGCCUUCGGGGCAGGGAGUGCACGGUGGUGGCACCUCCACCGGUCUUGUCGCCACCGGCUUGCGCCUGGGCGUCUUGCCGCGACAUCGAUGUGCUCGGUUGCCGGGGAGUGUCGCCAUUGGCGAAGCCGAUGAGGCUCUGAAUGGUGAUCCUCCAGUCGUCGAUCUUGUCCGGCGCUGGAGGGUAGUCUAGGAGCAGCUGGGCUCGAGCCAACGCUUCUUCUGGGGUUUUCGGCGGCGGGGGCGAACGACGCGAGGAGCGGGAUAUGCUCAAACUUCUAACAGUGUUAGAAGGAGCAACAUCUCGUCCAGACGACCGUGCCGCGCUCGUGCCAACAUGUUGACGCGCAUGUUGGCCUUGAGCGUCCCGCGGUCCACCAGCUUGGGCUUGUUCCAACGCGAGCACGGUGCUAGGAGCACCAUGGCGUUGUCGAUCCCGCGCCUCCUGAGAGUGGUGCGGUGCAUGUAAUGACGCCGAAGCUUGCGGGGCCUUGUCCUUAGAUCUGGUGACAACGUGAGUUCCCCCAUCGGCGCCUGUUCUUUCGCCGGCGUCUACCCCACCGCCCGUUUGCUCCGGUGGUGGUGGGAUCGACGUGGACGGAGCGGCCACCUCCGAAGCCUUCUUCUUCAGUGGCAUGUCGAUGAAGAUGUUGAUGUAGCGCGCGCGAAGACCGGAUCAGGUUCGCACAACCUCGACGCCCCCUACCUGGCGCGCCAAAGAUGUCGUGGGGAACGAACACCUAUGGGGCAGGGCCCCUUCUCGGUCCGGCAGGGAGCGGAGGGCGCACGAAGAGCAGAUCGAGGCGAGGCACGCGAGGGAUUUUACCCAGCUUCGGAGCUCUCCGGAGAGAUAAAACUCCUACUGCUGCUCGGUGUUUGUAUUGUGUUCUUGCUCGAGAGCGUGAGCGUGCUGUAGUUUCGAAUGAGUCGAACCCCUUCUGCGUUGCGCAUGGGCCUCCUUUUAUAGGCUAAAGGGGUCACCGACAGGUGGCAACGCAGGCAAGGGUACAAAUGUAAAAAGAGUGGUUGGUACAACUGCCGCUACAAUGUAUCCUACCUAACUCUGACGGCAGGGGACAAGGGCAUUUAAUGCCCGCCCGGUCGCCCAAACAGUGCAGAAAACGACCGUUUGGGGCGCCACCGCUUGCCACGAUGGCCUUCUCGUCAUCUCGACUCGCCACCUCGCACCGCUUGGCUGCACAGCUUCCCGCCACGUGCUCCUGGAACGGUCCUGCGGCGACACGUCGACGGAUGUGCUGGAGCGUAGGCACAGAGUGGUGGCUUCGCCGCGGCAAGCGCCUUGCCGCGGUCGUUGUCUUGUCGCGUCCGGAAGCUUGUCGCUCGCCGGGUCUUGUCGGGACGCGCGGCACGUCGCGGCAAGUUCCUUGGUUUGCCUUCCCGGCAAGCUCCUCUUGCCGGGGCCUUGUCCUUCCCGGCAAGCUCCUCUUGCCGGGGUCUUGUCUUCUCAGUUAAAACACUUUGUUCUUGAAUGGCAUCAAUGAGAGCUAUGAAGGAUCUUGGCGGACGUCUGGCAAGCCUUGCCGCGGGGCGCUGCGACUGCCCGUGCACAAGUUCGGGAUACAAAGGUACCCCUACUUUAGUACACCGACACUACCGCACCGUCCUCUUCUCCCUCGAGCGUCGCGACGGCCUCGACCUCGCCGCUCCCCCUCCCUCUAACGGCCGGCUCCGCCGCUGUGAGCUCUUGGGGAGGAGCAAGGCAUUGUCUAGCCGAGACCCUCGCCGCCACCGAUGAAGCGUCGCCACACCCCCUCGCCAUGACAGAAGGAAGGAGGAAGCAGGAAUGGGGAGAAGCGGAUGACGAAGGAUUGAGAGGCGCCAUUCCUCCUGCUCCCCUCUUUAUAAAGGGGCGGGGGUGAGGCUCAGCCACCCCUCUCGACCAAUCCGGCCCAUUGAAGUGACAACGGGCGGGGCCAUCGACCUCCCUCCCCGCCCAAUUGAAGGCACGUGGGAAUCGACCACGCGCGUGUGCGACUUCCCGUAUCCCGUGCGCUUGUCAUUCACUCUGCAUCAUGCAUGCAGUGAACAUGGCGCAAGAGACGGGCGCAAUGGGAUGCAUGGAGCGACGGUUCCCGAGUAAGGGUGGUAAAUGAGAAGUGGCCCUACAGCCUCAAGGAGACACGCAAGUCGCCUCUUUACUGUCCACCACAAGAUGACACCAGCGUGCUUUGGUUACACACACGCACGCGACCCCCACUUCGCACAUUUAACGCGGGUCAUGGGGAAGCGCAGCAGAUGAAACAGUUACCGUGGUGAAAUCCGCCCCGCCUGCCCGCGCACCGUUCUGGGCCUGGCCCAACAAACGUGUCGCGCUCAUGUGUGGCCCAGGCCCGGGGGCUCCUGUCGGUGUACCAAAGUAGGGGCUCUCCUUUUGACCCCUUUACUUGUGCACGGGCAGUCGGAGCCACGUGCCAUAGCCGCACAUAGCAGGGCAAAGGAGGGGAGCUGGAGAGAAGCCAAGGGCACAAGACAAACAAUGCAACACCAAGGACCAAGGCCACAAAGUGCAGAUGGACGAGGCAGGUUUCCCCGGCAAGACUAUUUCCAGGGUGGCUUGCCCACACCAGCGGAGUGAGCCACCCCCGAACCCACGGUCUCCAACACCAUCAACUGCGUUGGACCAGGACUCAGGAGGCACCUCCAUGGUGGCAUGCAGAUCUUUGUGAAGACAAAGAAUAUUCAAGAUCAGAUGAGGAUUGGAAGGUAACAAUCCUCAUCAAGAUUCUUGCCAAAGAAACCCACAAGACCCCUGACAAGAUCCUUGCCGGGGACAACAACGCGCCACGGCAAGACCCUUGCCGGGCCACCCGGUGAGACCCUUGCCAAAAGGCAUCAGCGGGGCCACAACCAGGCCCGCACCAACCAAGUCUCCACCGCCGUUUGCAUGCAGCUGCCAGCCCAACCAGUUGGGCAGGCACCUGCGUGGCAACAUGCAGCUCCCAGGCCAACUCAGCACACACAUGCGUGGUGGCAUGUAGAUCUUCAUGGAGGCUCCACCACCGUGCCACCUCGGCUGCUUGCCUGACUACAUGGCGCCGCAUGCAUCGCUGGCCAGGGCGCGUGUCGAAGCAAGGAGGAGCGGCGACGGACGAGAUGUGCCUCUCCCACAUCAACGAUAAAGCGAGGGGACACCUAAGCUACGCAUUAAAUGCGUCUUGUCCUGUACUACAAGCGAUAAGCUCAUAGCACUGUAGGCCUUUCCACCUCCUGUGUGCCACUGUGGUAGCCCCUUUCGCCUAUAAAAGGAGGCCCAUGGUGUACUGGAGAAGGAUUCGGCUCUUUCGAACCACGCAGCUACCAUAGCUAGUUCAAGGGCUCAAGAACGCUAAAUACAUCCACCAAAGCAGGACUAGGGUUUUAGGCAUCCUCGCGGCCCGAACCUCGGUAAACGAUCCUUGUGCUGGUUACCAGUCCUGCUCUUCUCACAAACCCGCGCCCCGCAACCGUAGUAGGGAUUCUUGUGAUCCCAUAGGUGUCGUUUCCCACCGACACCGCAGCGUAUUCCCACGCUAAGGGGAGUAUGAGCGCUGACUGGUCGGCUGCGGGGUGAGGCUAACGUCGCUGGAAAAUAACAGGAUGUGUGGGUGGGUAGAGGGAUGGCCUGGCGGCAGCACAGCCAGUCACAGGAGGAGGGAGCCGGCAGUCCCGCUGGCGCUGGUUUGGGUGGCUGGAGCAGGAAGAUCAGAGAUUGAAGAAGCAUGGUGGCCAUUGGAUGGACAUCCAACAGUCACUGCUCUCUGUUGACUAAGUUGACAAAGCCUUGCGUACGCGUGAAAAAAAUAGAACAACGUCAUCGUCAACCUAAUAGGCCCAGAAGUCAGCCUCCAAAUCUGUGGAAAACAGCAUACAACCCAUUAGCCAUUAUUUUCAAUAAUUUACAGUCCAUUUGAUAAUUCUUAAGGAUAUUUGAAGCCCAUAUUCUUUUUUAUUAGCAUUACAGACCAUAUAUUCUGGGCACUGCUAAAAAAUUCAACAAAAUUUUGCAUAUUUCGGUGGGGUCCGAACUCUUUUAAUCACGAAAUUUCGAGUCAUGUUAAAAAUAAUUUUUUUAAAAUUAUAUCAAAAUAAAAUUCAAAAAACAAUUCUCCGCAAAAAAUGAAUGAAAUUUAGAAUCUUAACUAGCAAGAUGCCUGUUCGUUGCACAGAACAUGAAGAUGCAUUUGUAUGAGUAGUUUAUCUUGUGGGAGAAAAGAUGAUAUUUUAAUGUAAUUGCCAGUUGGCUUUCAUUUUUAUAAGAGUAGAGAGCAGGGAAAUCCUAAAAAAAUGAUAUUUUAGUGCAAUUGUCGGUUGGCUUUGGUUUAAAAUUUUACAACCCAUUUCUUACAACUUAUAGCUCAUUUUCUGGGGAAGCCCAUUUCUUACUACUUACAUCCCUCCUCGUCUUUAAUGAUUUGCAGCCCAACGGGGCUGAGAAAAGCAAGUAGGCCUCGGUUUUGGUAUUCUCCAAAAAAAAGAACUGGGCUAGCCAUUUUCAGAAAGAAAAAUAUAUGUCAACUGGGCUCGUCGUGUGAUUAAAUAAAAGCGUAAGCGUGGGCUAGACGGACCACAGCCCCCGCACAACGCGCAGUUGAGCUCCGUCUCUGAAACUAAAAAACAACUGGGCGAGCUGCUGGGUUCCUGGUGUUAUCCGCUCGUUGUGUAAUUUCCUCGUUUAUUAACUACAUUGACAAUGGCGUGGUACCUAGAUGUCAACCAAUUAGGAGGAAGUAUUUUUUUGGCUUGUAAAAAUGAGGCACCUGCUUGUGACAUGUAAUGACCCUAGUGGGUCCCUACUGUCAGCCUCUCCACGUACAGUCAUCUCCUGAUUCCUCUUGGUUGUUGACCAUGUUGACAAUGCCAGACGGCGGCGGGCACAGCAAGCGAACCAAGGUGGAGAACGACGGCGAGGCCUCGGACGGGACCGAACAGCAGCCGUGGAAGAUGCGGUAGUGUAGUGGCAGGUGGAGGGGAGUACGAGGGCAACAACAUGCAACUCAAGCUUACAAAUGGUACAAAAAGCCCAAGGAUUAAUUGUUCAUCAAAUUUUUACACAAAACCUAGAUUGAACAUGGUAGUAACAUCUAACCCAACCACUCUUUUUCGCAGUCACAAACAAAUGGAUCGGUCUGAUCCAUAAAAUCAACAUCCUGUGCAAAAAAAAUUAUUUCAGGAUGACUACAACUUGUUGUAAAUAGAAGCCGAGCACGUUUAGAAGCCCAUUUGUCCACCUGAAACAUCUUUUUAUGCUGUUCAACGUGUCCGUCCAUGAGAAAUCUCUUGCGGUAAAACUUAAGCCUCAUGGACAAUAGUAACCUCGCAUUCAACAGGAAGAAUGUGACAAAGCUUUUGUUUGCCUAGUUGGAUGCAUAUCCUUCCAUCGUUAUUGUCCUCAAACGAAUUUCAUGAGAACUGAGAAAAUCCUGGUGCUUAUUACGCCACCGAUUGGUUAUAUGUUUUGUAGUUUUGCUCCAUGUGGUUGUGCCUAAGUAGAGAUGAAGAUUGAAAACAGUUAAGGUCUGAAAAAAGAGUAUGUCGAAAGAACGACAGCUGAACAGUUAAUUUUAGUACAAUAUAUACGGGCUUUCAAUGUGCAUGAAAUCAUCACCUCUAUAUAUAAAUUCUACAGAGAUCGAAAGCAUCGCAACAAGCCAAUAAUUAUGUUCAGAUCAAAACUAAACAUUCUGAUAUAUAAGAUCUUGACAGAAUCCAGCAGCAUUGAUAGGCUAUCAAUGGACGAACUCUUCAUUGAGCAUAUAACAUAAUAUUAGUACCCAAAGUGUACUCCAAGAUGAUAUAAAAUUUAUGCUCACAAAUGAAAAAUGCAGCUUAUGAUUACAAAUGUGUAGAUGAUAAUAUACGGUACCUGAAAAAGUGAGGAGCCAAACACCAACUCCUUUUGAUCAUUAAUCGGGUCACGAAUUACACCCAAGGUCUCCAGUUUGGUCGCAGAGACGACAAUUAUUUGUGCAGGUUUAUAACAAUUAUCAAGGAGCAACCUUUGAAGUGAAGGGGCAUCUUCGAUGAUGAGCUGCUGUCCUUCAAAACAAAUUCCAAUGCUUUUAAGGUGAGGCAAAUUUAUUUGGAGACAACUGAUACGGAUUUCUAUUCCCAAAACAAUCAGCAAGCACUCUAGGGCAGGGCAACUGGAGUGGACGAUGCUGUGAAGUGAGGCCUCCGACAGAUAAUCCACCACAAGCAAAAGUUUUUUUAGUAGUGGGAGUCGAAGCAUUUGUACCAGAUCGAAUGGUAGAUGGCACCGGGCGAAGGUGGCAGUGUGGAGAGAGGAGGAAAACCGCGAGAUGGACAACAGUGGUGUGGGCACGAAUUCCUGGUGUGUUCGCAUGAAACUUUUGUGGUAAUGGUACAACUCAAAUUGCUAGAGUUUUUCGAAUUCAAGGGAUGUCAGCCAAACGUCCACCAUGCCGAGUAUGGACAGCAAGUAGCAUGUCGGGAUGCAGAGGCAUUGAACGGGGCCCUGCUGGUGAGAGGAGACGAUGGCUCUGAGGAGAUCAAAUUCAGGAAGGACAGAUAUCUGACGACAGUCGAGAUUGAGGGGCGCGGUGCGCCAUAGAGGGUGCCACCGAGUUGAGAAGACUUGUGUGCGGCAGCAAUCCUUGGUGGGGGGAAGUGAGAUGAUCUCCUCAAGAAUGACGUCCGGGAGAUUGCUGAUGCGGUCCACCGGAGAUUCUACCGGUUCCUCAGAUCCAGGUGGGGGGGGCUCGCCACUUCUCCCCGCGCUACCGGGUGCGGGAUCUACAAUCGGCAUCACCGCUGGCGGGAGCCUCAUCUUCUUGGCGCUGGGGCCAGCCGACUCCAUUUUCCUUGUGGGCAUCGCGUCGAGCUGACAGGUUUGAGCAGAGUAGCCAGAGACGAGCCUAGUGGCAGUGCGAAUGGGGAAGGAGGAGGGCUGGGGAUUUCUGUAGGAGUGGAAGAAGAGGAGCAGGCAUUUUCUAUAUGAGUGAGGAAGAAGGUGAGCGGGGGUUUUCUGGACGAGUGAGGAAGAUUGGCGAGCAGGGGGAAUUCGGGGGAGACAGAAGUGGGAGAGCAAGCUAUUCAUGUUUAUAAGGCUCGCUGCACUAGCUAGUUGCUUUUUCCCAAUAAUCGCUCUCUUUUUUGCGUUACUGCAUUGGAGCUGGCGCAUGGACUUGGCUGACUGGCCAUGCAUGCAGGAUGCAUGUGCCCGCCGGCCACUGCAUGCGCCUGGUUUGUUACUAGGCCUAUUUAAUAGCGUGGUUAUGGAGUAAAUUAAGGAGAUUUAUUUUCUCUGUGUGAAUCUUCUUGGUCUUAGCAAUUGGCUCAUGGGCCUAAUAAACCCGGACGGAGGGAGUAUAAGUGGAAGCCGGGAGGAAGGAAGGUUUUUUUGGGAUCGCCCCCUCUUCAAGAAAUAUGGGCUUCUUCUCACAAAAAAAGGGCUUUAAGAUGGAUAGGCUUUUGUAUCGGCCCAGUCGGCUGCCCGUUUUUGUACUGGAGGGCCUUGUGCUAGAGGCAGCCUGAGACACACUCCAGCUUAUUGCCCAUUCAAAGGAAAAAAAAGAGAUGCCUCCAGCUUAUGGCUACUCAUAGGUAACCUUUUUCAACUUGGCAUCCACCAAAUUAGAGGAUGCCGUACUGGAUGUAGACACUCACAUUAAACUAAGCUUCAGAAGAUACAGUAUGCAUACUAACAUUCAGAAUAACAAAAGUUUAGCAUGUUUAUGCAUCUCAAUGAUUCACCAUACUAUAACCAAUACAAAGUUGUGAGAAGGUGUGGAAAUAACGAAAAUCGGUCGAUGCUUCUCUGAGCAAAGGGCCUCCCUACACACGCAUUAAUUUCCUGGGCAUGCUUGUUUCUUCUCAAUGUUGCAAGCACUUUGAGCAUGGUGGCAACUCCACAGCUGGCUAGCUGCCUCAUCUUGCAAUUGAUGCUGAAACAUUUGCAGCAAACACAUGAGGCAAUAGAGAUGACUCAACAUGAGUCCAUAUUGUGCAGUUCCCCUGAAAUCAUCUUCAUUGUCCUGAAUCUGAAAAGAUAGGAAAACAAUAGCUAUACUUAAACAGUGUUGCAAAACAGUAGCACAUAUCAAUAGCUCGGCAUGACAAAACACGAUCAUCUGGACCAAGGGGAUACUGACCUGCCUGAGGAAGAUUAUGUAUAAUUUCAUAAGUCCUUGGUUGAUUUCCACCUUUGACCGCACUGCUUGUUUGCUCCUCCACACAUGACAGGAUCGUUCCGCACUACAAUCAGCAAGUCAACGUAUGAAUAAGCUUAUUUCAUCUUGCGGUGGUCAUUGUACCUAGUUACGAAUGUAGGAAUACCUGGAGCACCAUGAGGUUAGCUGACAAUAGGUAGAUGCAGCCAUAUAAAUUUUGUGCGAUGCUACCAAAAUUGAGGUUUGCAUCCCUUCCCAUUAUGAGAAUUCUUCUUGAAGUUGGUAGAAUGUGACGGCUUGUUCUUUGCAUCAAACUUGCCUUUCCCCUAAGAUUUGUUCUUGUUGUUUUGGGGCUGGUUGGGCUGGAAGUUCUUAUCAUGUACCAUGUGUGCACUAGAAGCUCCCUCAGCGACCCGAGCACGUGUGUCUCUUAUCAAGAUCAAUAGUGCUAAUGAGAUCGGAAACAGAAAACUCAUGUCUCUUGUUUUCCAGAGAAGUAGCAAAAUCGUUCCACAAAGGUGGAAGCUUGGCAAUGAUGGUUCCAGCAACAAAUUUGUCCGGCAUAACACACUUAAAGUACUCAAGUUCCUUAGAGAGUGAUUGUAUCUCAAGAGUCUGUUGAACAACAGAGCGCUCAUCAGUCAUCUUGUAGUCAUAGAAUUGCUCCAUGACGUACAACUCGUUGCCAAUGCCCGAGGCCCCAAACGUGGCCUCGAGCGUAGCCCACAUGUCUUUGCCGUUGUCGAAUGACAUAUAUGAAUCCACAAUGGAAUUGUCAAGAACACUCAGCAGGGCAUCUUUGAAGAGGGUAUCCAUGUUCUCAAAAGCUUCCUACUGUGUAGGAUUAAGAUUUCCCUCAGGCUUACUCUUAGUGGUGUCAUAGCAGUACAUGAUCUGAAACCAAUAUACUGCUCUUAUGCGCCACCUUUUAUAUUGCACCCCCUUAAAAGUAGGCGGCUUCAAAAGUGCAACAAAACCACUCGGAGUAAUUGCCUAUAAUCAGGUUUUUGGAUUGGAUUGUUGAAUAUAUGAGCAAUUUACUAUAAGAUUUAAUCAGAAUCAUCAGUAAAUAGAUCAUGACGACAAUUGCAAAGAUCAAAGUAAUGAUGCGGACUAAACCAGGAGGACAGAAUCACAUAGUAUACAACGGGAGCAGAACCGCUGUUGUUGAUGUUGUCACUCAUGUCAUUGAUGAAGAGGUUACCGAGGUCGGGGAAGAAGGUUGUCGUUGAGGAAGUCGUUGCUGGCAGCAGUCACAGGAGUGUGCUCCCCAAAAACCUGAUCGCCCCUCUCCCGUAUAGGAUCACGAAAGGCGGGGUUCGAAGGACUGCUGUCCCUUCUCGCGGUGCAUGCCGGAAGGAGGGCUGGAGAAGAAUUGCGUGGCGGGGCUAAGAUCUGGAACGGUGCGAAACCAUAUGAUACAGUGGCGGCUAGGGUAGAGCAUGUCAGGUCGGUCGUGCGAGUAAGACCAAGUAUAAUAAUAGGCCUUUGGACCCCAAACCCCAUGUCCAAGUCAAUAAUAGCCCCACCAAGGUUUGUCUCAAAAAAACUGAGUAAUUAAGGCAUCCAUUAAUUAUUAAUUAAUGACUUAAAAUAAAUUUUCCGACCAACAAAAAUAUAGACCACGUGGAUAGCUUUUGUCCUUAGACAGGCUCAUUCCCAAAGAGCGCACGUGUAGGUUUCCUAUUAUCAUGCUCAUGCAAAUGCUAGAAUAGAUCACAUUAUAAAGUGGUGCAACUCACACCCACCUAGCAGUAUGGGACUAAACUUUAGUCCCACUCACACCACACUUAGAGCAUGGUUAAUAGUAUAGCCAACAUCCGGCUAUAUGAAGUUGACACAUCAUCUAGAACCAACCUAAUAGCCUGCUAGUACAAUAGUUAGUCCCUUUAGUAUAAUACUAUAUCAUUAAUAAUGGGCCCACCUUUUGUCUCACAAAGUAUGUUGGGGCUCUUGCUACAACCGGCUACAAGUUUACAACCCGCUUCUCUUCUCUCUCCUUCAACUAAGCACAAAUAGUAUAUUUAAAUCCUUAUAGCCUGCUUAUGUCAUCUAAUUGUAGUACUUGCUCUAAAGUUACUCUCCACUGUUUAGUCUGAAAUGCCACGCGUGCAGCGGUCGGUGCCCUCGGUCGGUGCACCGCUUCAACGGCGGAAGCAGUGAGAGGUCGCGUCACCCUGACUUGCCAUCAAUGUGGAGCGGCGGGCUCAGCUGGCGCCAGGUGGGAAGCGUGCGCGGGAGGGGGGAGGGGUUUUUGUUGGGCUAAGAAGGUGAGAAGCCAACUUGGGAUCGCUCCGAACGGGGAAAUAUCAUGUGCUCCCAUACUCACUAGUAGUUUCGUGCAUAUGACACUAGUCUAUGUUACUACUCCCUCCUUUCUGGUUUAUAGGACAAGAACAAUCAGAAUCAUAGGCUAGCUCCUAGGGUUUAGCCUCCACGAUCUCAUGGUAGAUCAACUCUUGUAAUACUCGUAUCAUCAAGAUCAGUCAAGCAGGAAGUAGGGUAUUACCUCCAUCGAGAGGGCCCAAACCUGGGUAAAACAUCGUGUCCCCUGCCUCUUGUUACCAUUAGCCUUAGACAUACAGUUCGGGACCCCUACCUGAGAUCUGCCGGUUUUGACACCGACAUUGGUGCUUUCAUUGAGAGUUCCUCUGCAUCGUCGCAGCAAGGCUUGAUGGCUCCUUCAAUCAUCAACAACGCGGUCCAGGGUGAGACUUUUCUCCCCGGACAGAUCUUCAUGUUCGGCAGCUUCGCACUGUGGGCCAAUUCGCUUGGCCAUCUGGAGCAGAUCGACAGCUACGCCCCUGGCCAUCAGGUCAGGUUCGGAAACUUGAACUACACGGCCCAUAUCUGCGGAGACUUGAUCUUCGACGGAUUCGGGCUUACGCCAGGAGCGCCGAACAGUCACGACAAGCACGGCUUAGAUCUGCUGUCAGACAAUAUUCGGGAUAUUGCACCUGUAGUAGCUCCGGACCUAAAUCCUAGGCAGAUCGCAUCGUCCGAGGACAGGUGGAUGGACCCCGCCCCGGAGGCCGCAUACUCAUCCGCGGUAGAGCCAAACACAGACUCCACCUCCAAGGAAAUCUGUGUCGCCGGGCCCCCGGACUUGCAUCCGGCUUAGGCUCCGGACCAUGCGCACCCGGGCCCAUCGGUCUGAUUGGGCUCCGGUAAUGGAAUUCACCGCUGCGGAUAUCUUUCAGCACUCGCCCUUCGGUGACAUGCUGAACUCAUUAAGGUCUCUCUCUUUGUCAGGAGACUCUUGCCCGAACUAUGUCCGGCUCGAGUGGGAAGCAGGCGACGAGGAAAUUCGUUACCCACCCACCACCCACUUCAUUGCCACUGUCGAUGAUUUGACCGACUUGCUUGACUUCGACUCCGAAGACAUCGACGGUGUGGACGACGAUGCAGGAGAAGAACAGGAACCACCGCCCAUGGGGCGCUGGACAGCCACCUCCUCGUAUGAUAUAUAUAUGGUGGACACUCCCAAAGAAACCAAUGGCGAUGAGGCAAUAGAGGAUAACCCCUUAAGGAAGAAAUCAAAGCAUGGGCGUCAUCAGCGCUGCUCUAAGCCCCACCACAGCAAUGCCAGCACAGGAGAUGAAAGCAAUCCCGAUGGUGCCGAAGAUGAAUACAAUCCCGAUCAACCUGCCUUCGAGCAGGCCGGACAGGAGGACGGGCAGGUUAGCCCAGAUAAACAGGCGACAGAAGGAUACUUGGAGGAGGACAACUACAUGCCCCCUCCGAAGACGAGGUGAGCCUCGGCGACGAUGAAUUCGGCAUGCCUGAGGAUCCCGUAGAGCAGGAGUGCUUCAAGCGCCGGCUUAUGGCCACUGCAAGAAGCCUGACAAAGAAGAAGCAGCAGCUCCAAGCUGAUCAAGAUCCUGGCAGCCGAUGAAUACGGACUCGAGCGCCUCACCAAAGGGUACCCAAAGCACAAUUUGCUACCUCAACUGGAGGAGGAGGUUCUAAAGCCCACACCCCGACGCCAAUACAUCACGAACCGGGGCACUACGCUGGAAAUUCGAGACAACACCCAUAAACCUCGACGCAACAAACACAAGCAUCACAAAAAUAAUGAUGACGCCCAAGACACGGCAGCCGAUGCCGGAUUCCGCGGCUCCCAGUCCGGUCAGCGGAAAAAGAACAAUUCAGGCCCAUCCGGCUGGGGCAGCAUACUGGACCGCCCAUGUCAAAUUCAUGGUACCCCUGGAACGACAGCCAAUCAUACCAAUAGAGAAUGCCAGAUCUUCAAAACAAUCCGGUCAAUCGCGCGCCGGAAACAGUAAAAAGGGGUCUCAAAGCUAUAAAGCCAACGAGGAGCCCAGACCAUCAAACAUUAUGAGGCAAAAGAAAAUUCUCGGCAAACCAAUAAGGCGAACGUAAUAAACACCACCCACAUCCCUGAAGGGGAACGAACGUGUACUCCUCGGUACGCCGACCCAACAAUACAAGUCACCCCAUGGUACACAAAUAUGGCCGAUCAUCUCCGAUCAUGCAGACCGUCCAACCAAUUUCAACCAUGGCAAUUCAGUUGCACUUAUCCUCGACCCAGUAGUUGGUGGGUUCCACCUCACACAAGCCCCUAUUGGCGUCAACAACAGCCCAAACUUGCUGCUCCAGGACACAGUGCACCAGAUAGGUAUUGAUCACUCGAGGAUCAAACCCACUAAAAACAUCUUCUCAAGAUGACGUACCAGGUGUAUAGGUCAGUUUUACAGGCCCACCACCCUGGAGGCUGUCUUCGGACAACCAAACAAUCACCAUACCGAAGAAUAAUUCUUUGACAUUGUCCCCUUAUACAGUAACUAUUAUGUACUACCGGGACGAAACACGUUGGCUCGGUUCAACACGGUACCACACCAUGCCAAGCCCACGUGACAUAGUCACAAUUACGGGCAAGGCCGAACUCCAACCCGACGCUAUAAAGUAUACAACCACUGAGGUAACGAGUUGUGCCUUUCUAUCGAACCUCGAUUCUACAGCCAACCCCCCGGACGCCAACAAAGGAGUCCGAGCUACUUUACGACUUGAUAGCCCGGCUCGACCAGGCUCCAAUCAAGCACUCCGGCAUAAGCUGGGGAGGGUCCCGCGGUUCAACCACCCUAUGACACACAAAUGUCUCCAAGCAUUUUCUUUACAGGCUCACUUUUGUGCAGAACAGGACUCGUGACACGGAAUCAGCUUGGAUGCACAAAGAGGGAAUACACAAAUAUUCCCCAAGAAGACAAUCCGGAUAUACUUCAGAUCCGCACACAACUUCCUCCCGCCCGGUCGCAACAGGUUCCGUCAUCAUACCUCCUUUUAUAGCAGAACCCGUACUCAUACGCAUAGACAUGUCACUCCACUACAACAUGUAGAGUUACAUGACACUUACCAGCCGUCAUUCCUCAUUGAUGCCUUUUUCAUCAUAACGGAACCCGCACAUAGUGUAACACCCUACUACACCAGGGGCUUCAUUGUACCCAUAAUAUGGCAACAAAGUCCGGCCACCUUCUUGGUCGCUCGGCACCCAGAACUUAUAGCACUAUAUGCAUCAGCUCCGAAUCAUGUCUCGGGUCAUUAGUUGGGUUUGCCCGGCUCCCAUGUUUUGGUACCUUACAUUCCGCUCCAUCAGCUAAGGUAGCACUGGGAGAACUACUGCGAUCGUGUCCCGGUUCUUCCGGACAAGCACCUCAGUAGAGAAAGUCGAAAACUGACUGUCAUGAUACGGCGAGAGCUGGUCAGCUCUUCGAGAGGUUUUAAAAUCUUUAAGGAUUUAUUCCGCAUAAUGCCAUAACAAAUGCAGAGUGCGAUGGAUCGGUCUUCCGAUCAGGUGCUAUUAGAGCCCCUCGUAUGGUCUUCCCAACACCAGGGGCUGCGCCUACCAUACUCGAAUUCCUAUGGCUAAGUGAGAGUGAUAAAGCCCUAUAGUUCGAUUGCCUGGUUCGCUGUGCUGAACACCUCCUUCAAGGACCCAAAAAUGGGAUAAAGAGUGUUCAGGUUUGUCCUGAACACCCCCGUACUUUCUACGUGGGGGUAGAAGCCGACGACUGGCCAACUCUCAGGAUUUAUAUAUAUCAAACGGCCGCACAGGAAGAAAAACUUUUAUAUAACAGGCAAUAAAUAAUAAAAGUGCCAGCGUUCCGCAUUACAAAGGACAACAUGACUGUCUUCAAGGAAAUAUAAUGUCUUUGGUACAUUGCUCCACCACAAGGCAGGCUCCUUUCAUGAAACCAUCAUAAUAUAAUUCGGGCUUGUGGUGCUCCUUACCCUUCGGCGGCCCCUCAGUCAUCAGCUUUUCAACAUCAAGCUUCCCCCAGUGCACCUUCGCACGGGCAAAUGCCAUUCAUGCACCUUCUAUACAGACCGACCGCUUAACGACUUCGAGUCGAGGACAAGCACCAACAAUCCACUUCACGAGACUAAAGUAACUGCUUGGAAUUGGCUCAGCGGGCCAUAGCCGGACAACUAAGUCCUUCAUGGCUAGUUUGGCCGCCUGGUCCAGUUCGAUCAGCUGAUUCAGCUGAUCGACAAAAUGGCACCGGAUAAUUUGGCACCAAAUACUGUGACCAGAAAUGCUUUUCCACAGUCUUCUUCUCCUCAACCCGGUAGAAUUGAGCAGCAUCAGAUAUGCUACAAGGCAGGUCCGCAAACGCCCCUGGAGAAAUCAGAAUUCAAUUUGUCACUUUGAAUUUCUCCUGUUGCUACAUAAAAAUCGCUUCAAAUAAUAUAAAAAAGAAGCCUUACCAGCCGCAAUCCUCCUUGCCUCCUGAAUGUCCUUCAGAGCACCUCGGGCUUCCUCCCAAACAUCAUUUGCAGCUUGGAGAGCUUGGGCAAGUUCGGACUCUUUCCCUGAUUGACUCUGCUCCAAAGUCUCACUUUUCUUUACAGCCUCCUGGAGCUCUUGUUCAGCUUCAAUGACCCUGGCCUCGUGCCUCUCGCGAAGAGCCUGUUCCGCGGCGGCCUUCUUGUCGCUUCGGUCACAACCUUUUUUAGUGCCUCAAUUUCACGCUUGCUCCUAGAGCACACAAUAUAAAUAAUUUCAUCAGGCACAACUACUUAUUUGUGCAGGAUUCAUUCAGUCCGCUCUCAGCGGACUGAAUCUUUUCAAUCACCGCACCCAUAAGGGCGCGAUGUUCAUCAACGAUGGAAGCGCUCUUUAGCGUUGUCGAUAAGCUGUCCCGCAGCUCUAGUUGGACAGAGGUUGCUGGAGGAGCGGGCUCGUCCCCUUCCGUCAAGGGGGGCUGCCUGCCUGAUCCUGGAGCCUCAAAGGUCUCCGGGACUGUGUCCGGCUGCGGGACGAAUCUAAGAUCUCCCCCGCCGUCGACGCUAAUGAAAACCGUUGCUCGUGUGUAUCCGGCCCUGGAGAUGUGCCCUCCCUGGCCUGGGUCCUGCUGGGAUGACACCUCGGUGUCACGCCUAGGCUUCGGGGGGGAGGGGGCUCCGGAGGCGUCUCGCUCUCCAGAGCAUCCGAGCUCAGCGAAUCCUCUGAUGAGUACUGUUCGGCGCGAGGCCUUGCCGGGCUGCACAAAGUAUGGCGCAAGUUAAAAUAUUACACCUUCGUGAUCCUGGGCGCGUGGGCGUGUUUCAUGUACUCACAAUUUUACCAGGGGCUGGGCCCUGGGAUCCCACUCCGGGCUGCUAUUGGUAGCCGUGGUGGACGCCUCUGGAAGGGAAUUUCUUCCCCUCUUUGGCGAUUCGGCCUGCAAGGAAGAGGAGGCCAUCCUUUUCUUUCCUCCCCCCAUGGAGGACUCGUCUCCUUCCUCCUCCUCUUCAUCUUCGGAGGAAGGAUGAGCGCUGGAGUCUUCGGAUUUUAUGUCUGAAGCACUGCGGCGACGGAGGCCACCCCGGGUCUCCUUGGCCUCCUUGAGGGCCUCUUUCUUUGGUACCUUGUAAGGCGCUAGGACUAGCAUCUUCGUUAGAAGUGGUCCUGCCGGUUCUUCUGGCAGCGGGGUCGGACAAUGUAUCCGCCCUGCCUUCUUCGUCCAUUCCUGGGGGAAUUGUGGAAAGCAUGAUAAAGCGUGUCCCUCGAGAUAUGACAGCUAAACAUGGGUGGACAGAACAUAGCGAUAACUUACCGGACUGGCGGGGCGGGACAGUUGAUACCCCCGGUCCUCGGCGGAGUCCGGCCACGGUUUGCUGGACUUGAAGAGCACCUUCCAGAUAUCCUUGUGUGAGCAGCCGUAGAGCUCCCGCAGGGUCUGGUGCUCGGCCGGGUCGUAUUCCCACAGAUUACAGGUCCAGUGUUGGCAAGGAAGAACUAGGCGGACUAACAUCACCUAGACUACAUUAACAAGUUUGAUGUCCUUGUCUAUCACGCCCUUGACACGCGUCUGGAGCACCGACAGCUCAUCGGACGAGGACCAGUUCAGGCCCUUCUUGGGCCAGGACGUGAGCUGCAGGGGGGCUCUGGAUCUGAAUUCGGGUGCGGCGGCUCACUUUUUGCCACGCGGCUGAGUGAUGUAGAACCACUGCUGCUGCCACUCCUUGACGGAAUCAUUGAAGGUGCCUGUCGGCCAUGUGACCUUGGGCAUCUUGCUCACCAUGGCGCCUCCGCACUCGGCAUGCUCGCCGUUUACCACCUUGGGCUUCACAUUGAAGAUCUUCAGCCAUAAGCCGAAGUGUGGCGAAAUUCGGAGAAAGGCCUCACACGCGACGAUAAACGUCAAUAUGUUAAGGAAACAGUUGGGAGACAGAUCAUGAAAAUCAAUCCCAUAAUAAUACAUGAUGCCGCGAACAAAUGGGUGAAGGGGAAACCUGAGCCCGCAGAUGAAAUGAGGAAGAAACACAACCCUCUCGUGAGGUAGUGGAUUAGGGACGAUCUGUCCCACCGUCGGAAGACGAUGGCCGAUUUUCUUGGCCAAGUACCCAGCCUCUCGAAGCUUUUUGAUAUCCUUCUCCUGGACGGUAGAGGCCAUCCACUUGCCUCCUUCUCCGGAUCCGGACAUCUUCGGAGAACCUCUUUUUUGUGGAGAAGAUGAGUGCUUGGGCGCUAGGGCUCGAGCAAAAGGAAAUGGACGAGCAGAAGGAAAAGGCGUGGAUAAAGAGGAAGAGGCCUUAUCUCUUUAUAGAGCCAAUAAAAACCUUUGCGCCUCCCUACUUGCUUGAUGGAACCUACUCGUUCCCCACUCACCGCGAUUGGCGGUACGGUUGGGCUACCCGCGCCCGUAUUGAUGGAAGUCCCGUGAUAAGGGGGGCAUGAUCUCUACUUCGACAAGACGUGCCCAGGAAACCGCCUCGCAAUAUGCACAGCAGCUGGUUGAGAAACAGUUUGGGUAAGGACCGGACCACAAUGUGAUAUCGGGUUAUGAAAAAUAUAUCAGCGGAUUCAGUUCGUGGAAUAUUGUUCUCUCUACAGUGGUAUGUGAAAACCGUCUUGCAGAACCGGACGCGAUUUAAGUGUUCGAGAUUAUCUUUGGAGUAUUCAGAGAUGGAACCCGCCUUGCAAUGUCGAAGACAAUCUACGUGCCAGACUCAUCGUCAUGGAAGCCUGGUUCAGGGGCUACUGAGGUAGUCCUGGAUUAGGGGGUAUCCAAACAGCCGGACUAUAUACUUUCGCCAGACUAUUGGACUAUGAAGAUGCAAGACUCAAGACUUCGUCCCAUGUCCGGAUGGGUCUCUCCUUUGCGUGGAAGACAAGCUUGGCGAUUCAGAUGUUAGAUGUCCUUCUUUGUAACCGACUCUGCGUAACCCUAGCCCCCUCUAGUGUUUAUAUAAACCAAAGGGUUUAGUCCAUAGGACAAGAACAAUCAGAAUCAUAGGCUAGCUCCUAGGGUUUAGCCUCUACGAUCUCGUGGUAGAUCAACUCUUGUAAUACUCGUAUCAUCAAUAUCAAUCAAGCAGGAAGUAGGGCAUUACCUCCAUCGACAGGGCCCGAACCUGGGUAAAACAUCGUGUCCCCUGCCUCCUGUUACCAUUAGCCUUAGACGCACAGUUCGGGACCCCCUACCCGAGAUCCGCCGGUUUUGACACCGACAACUACCUCUAUAGUAACACAUCUGUGGUAACAUGCAAUACUUCAUUUAUUAGGCUAUAGACACAUCUUGCCUUGAUAUGGGUGAUGUUACUACUUUCCUCUCUUUUCUUCAUUUAUUGCUUGCCACAUCAUCUACUUUAUCUAGACAUGUGUGAUGUUACUACCUAUGUUACUCCCACUGUGGGUAGCCUCAUAAUUUUACUCGUCAUCAGCUGAGUCCUAGAAGAUCUCACCAACAUCAUCAUUAGGCAUGCAGCCACCUUGAUAGACAACAUGCGCAGAAGGAGUAGAGGCUACUGGGGACGCACCACAUCAUGGGCACUCCGUACGUGCUUGUGUGCGUGCAGCGUGCCUGUUUUUCCAUCGGUGCUAGCUCUAAGGCCGAGGAUGCGGUCGUCUUCGUCUGUGACUCGUUGUUGAGCAACGAUGGCAAAGAGGUGCUACAAGAGAUGCGUAGGUGAUGUUGUGUGUGAGCUUCAUCGUAGCACGACGAACCGGAUGUCGCUACAGAUGGCACACGCCUCCAUGCAGUCAAGUGUGUGCGCAUGCAUGUGUUAUUCACGUGCAUUCUGCGGCCGAGUGUGUGUGCAUGCACGUGUUGUGUACGUGUGUUGUGUGCUCCAUGUUGUGCGCGUAUGUGCAUGAGUUGAACCGGAUGGAGUGCGUUGGCGUGUGUACGUGCAUGGUUGCAUGCGUCAUGUACAUGUGUGGCUUGUUGCGUGGUUAUCAAUAUAAACUAUAAAACAUCUUCAACUUAGCAUCCUGAUGUAUCGUCUCUAGUGGUUAGCAAAGAGUUCAUGUUCUUUUAUUUGUUUAUAGGUGGGUAGGCGGCAAAAAAUAGGGGAAAACGCGCAAGGUUCCUUGCUCCUUCUCGGUCGUCGGGAAUCUAUGAUCUUCAACUCUUUUUUUACGUGAGCUUUGUUCAUCCUUUUGCCAACACAUGAGACAUCUAGCAUCAAGAUGCACGUGUCAUGCAAGAAAAUGGAGACAAUCAGAUAAGUAGUGCGUAAGUGAGUCGUGCACUUUGAUGGCACCUACUACGCAAUAUAUUUUCUCCUCGAUGGCACGUCAAUAGUGCACGUACUCAAUGACGGAGCACGGGAUGGUAGCCAUGACAUGGUCAACCCUUUUUUGGAGAGACUAUGUACUAAAUAACUUUGAUGUGUCCCGUCAACUUGCAGAACGACAAGAAGCUUGCUUACUUCGCCUUCUCCCUCGCCAACACGUGCGCGGUGGCUCGCAGCACGACGAGAAACUUUUGCUUACAAGCAGUGGACGUGCAGCAGUUCAUUUGGUGUCAGAUUGCUGGAAGUACUACUGUAGAACCAUCGACUUACGGAAGAGGCGAAGAGCCAAGUGCAUGGUCACCUACUAACCUUAGGCUAGGUGUAGUGGGAGUAACAUAAGUAGGGUACCUCCUUUUUUAUUCUAGAAACAACCACACGCGAAUAUUGGACGGUAGCAGCACAACAACUGAAUCAAAAAUUGAAACCGACCAAUGAACUACUACUACUGGUGAGUGUUUGCUAGUACGUAUCAUGUACUCCGUCAUAGGGCUUAAUGUGUUUUCCGAGAUUAGGAAAACGCAUUAAGCCCUAUAUACAUGGAUAGACGAAGUACAUGAUACGUACUAGCAAACGCUCACCAGUAGUAGUAGUUCAUUGGUUGGUUUUGAUUUUUGAUUCAGUUGCCAUGCUGCUACCAUCCAAUAUUCGCGUGUGGUUGUUUCUAGAGUAAAAAGAGGAGCUACUAGUACUUACUGUGGGAAAGGUGAAGUGAUGGUUGAUUCACUCGAGCAACUUAUUACUCUGGGAAUAUGGGAGUACCAGCGGAUUCAAGGAACAUAGAAAUGAUGGUUGCUUCGUCCGAGCAACUUACUGUGGCGAAGGUGGGGCUAUAUGAUUUGACUGCUCACUAGUCAUUACUACUGCGGUGCAAUGACACCGGGUGAAUCUUUCCCUGUAGUAGUGCACUCAAUAUUGCUGCAUGGCAGGUGGAGCCGGAUGAAGGAUGUCCCACAUGUCGACGAAAUGAAGUUGAAUUGUUUCUAGCGUUGCUAUAAAUCCUUCAGGAUUUGUUUAUAUGUAUGCAUCAUUUUAAUGAAAUUGUACUAUGAUGCUAUGAAGGUUUCAACUUUGGUUCCUAAAGGAAAAAAAGGUUUCAACUUAGGAUUCAUGUGUCUUGCCUCAAGAUUAUCUCGUUACAACAUUCCAUCAUAUACAAAUGAAACUACGAUGGCUGCUAAUGCAUCUCAAUGGUUCGCAGAUCAAUGCCAAUAUUCACAUCACAACUGAAGACAAAGUUGUGAGAAGGUGUACAAAUAAAGAAAAAUAUAUAAUUGAUUGAUGUUGAUCGUAGGCAUGGCUCCAUUUCCUUGGCACAGUGUUCAUUGCUUGGCAGCUAGUUUCACCACAAUCCGAUCAUUUUGUGCAGCUCCACUAAAAUCGAGCAGAACAUCCCUGUUUGCAAAGAUAUCCAGUCAGUGUGAUCACAAUAAUAGUGGAACUAGAUGAUGAAACAUAACACACACAAAUAGAAGUCGAUCACCUCUACGAUCUCUCUUUAGGACUAACUACUUGUUGGAGAAGAUUAGGCACGGAGUUGGAUGAGGAGGAUAGCAAAACCAAUCUCCCUUUCUGCAGUCCCACAAAACUGUAAAAAUGUUGCCCGUGUGACAUUUUGGCGGAACUGCACAAAACACUCUUAAGAAAAAAUUGAUUUGUGCAGUUCACCAAAAGGUCAAAAUAGCAACAAGGUGAAAAUGGAUAGCCCUAUUUGCAAAAGGAGGUAGAAAGGAAACAAUUACUGCCCAGUAACAUGAGUUGAAGACACAUACGCCGACAAAAAAGAAGCAUAUUCCAUGUAAUAAGGGAAUGAUAGCACAUGGUGGUUUAUCAAAAAUGGUUUGACGACGAGAUUGCAAGAUGGAAAGUACGUCGGCCGAGAUACGUUUUAAGAAAACAACUAAAGAAGAGCCACAUGCAGCAACGUGGGAAGAUGGGUAGUGGAGCAAGGCCAGAGGAAGCUGUACCUGAGGGUCGUCGGGAUGUUACUACGAGGGCGUCGACGGCCAGGAUCUGCCCAUACUACGGCAGCGAGCAAGUGGCGAAGGCCCUACCGCGCCGAAGCUUGGUCAGAGAGAACGGUGGGUACCGUAAAUCGGGACGUGCUGCCUCAACGUCGUCGAAUGGAGACACUACAAGAAAUAUGUCAACUUGUGACCUUGACUAUUGGUCACUGAAAGGUCAUUGUUUUUCAUUUGCGACCUUUUUGUGACCAAAAACAGAAGGUCAAAAGCCGAGGGUCGUUAACUGAAUAUAGCAACCUUCUCUGUGAGAAGGUCAUGGACAUUUACGACCAAAAUAUUCCUACUGUGGCGUUUUGGUCACUAGCAACCUCCCCAGGCCACGUAGGCAUCCAGCGUGGCAAGCUGAUGUGGCACAAGAUUCAGUCCGGUCUAAUUCGGUUUUCUACAUGGGCCUAGCCCAACAAUUCGGCCUUCUUAUAUAUUUUUUCUAUCAAUUUUUGAUCAACUUCAUGGGCCAAGCCCAACAUUGCAACCUUUUUUAUUGUUGGGUUGUGGCCUUUUUGUCUAAACGAAUUUAGGGUUUCUGUUUUUUCCAAAAGAAGGGUCCACUAGUCAGAUGGGUCCCAAUUUUCAGGUUCUAGUAACUGGGUCCCAUUUGUCAUGUUUUGGUAAGCGGGUCCGAUCUAUCAAGCUCAUAUUCUUCAUAUUUCAAGCAUUAUUUUGUUUGGCAGAGACAAAAACACACAUGAUACUUAAAUAAGAGCAACCAGAUCACAUAAUACAAGCUCUAUCCGUUCCAAUACAGAGGACCAUACUGCUUUACAAGCUCUACAAGUGUAACAAGCUCUACAUGUAAUACAGUACUGCUUUACAAGCUCCUUCCAUGUGAUCACAAACUACCUGCUCCUGUCAUGAACAUACUGGACUCGCUGGAUGAACAUAGUCAGAUGAACAACAUGCCGGACUCGCUCGAAGACCAUAGUCAGGGCUGGGAACAAACAAAACAACAACAUGGCUUCCACUGUCAUCCUGUUACAUGAAUCAGAGAAGAAUUAGAAAAACUGGGGGAAAUAUAUGUCGUAGCUAACAAAGUAAGAAACAAUAGUGAUACGAGCUGCGUUGGUACAAAGAAAUGUGUUCUCGCUUGCUUCGUCGAGCAUGAUAAAUAGUUCAUUUGAUGAGAUAGGUAGCCUUGAGGCUGCUGUCUGAAUAAGGUCCUAGAGGGGAGAAAAGAAGCUUACAUAUGAUACUACACGACACCAAAUGCAUACAGUAACAAGUUGGGUCAACAAAGCCUUACCAGGAGUUCAUUGUCGGCUCUGGCAUAUGGCAGCGGCAAUGAAGGAGCACCUAUGUCAAGAGAAAUCACACAUGUCCUGAACCCUGGGCAUCAUUUUAACUUACAAACUGCAUCACCAAAUAAAACUACCAGGUUAGUGACAACCUUCAAAUGGAAUCAGGCAGUCUCACGUUUUGAGCCACUUGUAAGAUCAAUUCCAGUUUUCUUUAACUCGGAUGUGAAAGCAAAAAACUUGCCAGAAUUAGCAAGGAUUCCUCUGCCUAACUAGAUUCAGCACGAUACAAGCAGGGCACCUUAUGCUCUGCACCUAGCACGGCAAGCUUUGCAAUAAAAUAAGCUAGCACAUCAAGGUUGUCACAUGAAAACUGACAUAACAGUCAGGUUCAGAGCAAACGAAAAUGCUCUAC